GCUUCGAGAAGUUGUUAGGUAGAAAUCAAGUCAUCUAAGAACAAAAUUGUACCUGUUAUUACUUGUAGACAUUUGACUUCACAUUCAUAAAUUGGAGGGAAUGGGUUCUCCCAAAAUUUGUUUUAAUUCCACAUAUGUGAAUAGAAAUAUUCUCUUUACAAUUCUCAUUUGGAUGUGACAUGAAAGCUAAGCAAGCUAAAAAAAAUUUACAGUGAUCAAAGUGAGAUGUUAACAUAUUUAGUCGAACAUAAUCAAGCUUAAUUAAAUUUCUUCACGGAUUCUUUGAAAACUUGAUGUGUACUUUCUUGAUCUAAAAAUUAUGUACAUUUGAUUUGAAUCGUGAUUUCAAAUUGCCUUCUAUUCAUCAGCCUAAGUGUUCCGGGUUUAGCUACAUAAAUAAAAUACUUGAACUGCUACAGAGGGAAACAUGGUGAAAACACUAUUAACCUACGGGACCUUAUCAAAUCUAGCAGUUCGAUUAUACAUCUAGAAAGUAAUGGUAGCAAUUUUGUAUUUUUUGAUACAACAAUAAUCUUUCUCCUUUCUCUGACUAUGCUGAUCGUGUCCGAAAGAACCGGAGGAUGAAAAGAUCUGAACUGCACAAGAUCACCUCCCAGUUGGAUGCCAAUUCUCCGAAGCUCACCAGAGUUUUGUAAUUACGUGCGGAGUUUUGAGGCACAGAAAGGAGGCUGCGUACGAAAUCCCGGCGGGCGCAACUCUUCCACCCCUAAUCCAGGGAAACUUGCUUCUGAAUAAUAUAGGCAGCGCAGGUGGACAUCUAGCAUUCCUGUGUCUGUNNNNNNNNNNNNNNNNNNNNNNNNNNNNNNNNNNNNNNNNNNNNNNNNNNNNNNNNNNNNNNNNNNNNNNNNNNNNNNNNNNNNNNNNNNNNNNNNNNNNGCAUCAUGGAAAAGAGUUACGACUGGAUGUUAACUGGUUGAUCAUCUCUCUUAAUCUCAUUGUCCCCAACCCGCGGAUGAAUACUAAUCCGGCGGCCGCCCCUCUUCCACCCCUCAAUCCAGGGAACCUCCAAGAGUCAUUCAAGCUCUGACACAGUACUUGCGGAUACGGGUCUGUCUUUUAUGUUUCGUGUUUGCUACCAGGGUAUCCACAAGUACUGUGUCAGAGCUUGAAUACCUCUUGGAGGUUUGCCAGAUUGAGGGGUGGAAGAGGGGCGGCCGCCGGAUUCGUAUUCCUCUGGGGGUUGAUCAACCAUGAAAUUAAGAGAGAUGAUCAACCAGUAAAAUUCCAGUCUUUACUCUUUUCAUGUUUUUUUUAAAAAAAAAAUUUUAAUUUGUUUGUUUUUCUGGUCUGCUUCUUCCAUUAGAAGUACGGAAAGCGAUGCAGACUUAGUGAAGGAAAGAACUUGGAGAAGAAUGAGGGGGAAAAGGGUGCAUACAACUUGGUGGUGAGUUCUGAUAACUUGGGGUAUCUGUUAGCAUUAGUCUCAUAAAAUUGCUGAUAUUUGUUGUCAAUGAUUAUUUUCUGUUGUUUCAUGAUCUCCCUUGCAGGUUUGAUAUGCUGGAAAUUAGAAUUCUUUGAUGAAAUGUUGAUGUUUUGAAAGUUUUAAAUUGAUAGGAAUGCUUAGUACAAUGGGUUAAGCUAGAAAAUGAAGAAAAACUUGUAAUUUAGUAUCUAGAGAUCUUAGUGAUUCAACGAAAAUCUAUAAACAAAGGCUAAUUAAGCCUCAAGCAAUGUAUGUUCUUCUGGUUUCCUGCCAAAAUGGUAAUGAAAGAAUCAUGGUUUCUUUGAAAGUAUAGAACAAGGAAGACAAUAUUACAAUGUCAGUGUCACAGUCAGUGCCAUGAAUUACAUGUCACUAUUAGUUAAUGACAUGAUCAUUACACGUCAUUGUUAAUCUGUAACAAGAAUUAUAUAUGUUGAAUUACACAUCACUGCCUGGUAGUGACAUGAAUUAUACAUAUUGAAUUGCACGUGUUAGUGACAUGUGAAUUACGUAGUGUAGUUAUAUAUAGAAUUAUGUUUGAACCAGGUGUAAACAAAAUGAUAUAUAGAGUUUGCAAUGCAAUAGCAACUAGAAAGGAAUUAAACAUAUUCUAUAUCAUGCACAAGGCCCAUGUAACUACAGACGUACAAAUUCAACAGUUGAAGGCAAUUUUGUUUUGAUGAGUUGCACAGCGUGCUCUCUUGCCUCUGCCUCAUCAGCGAGUUCUUCACUACCCGGUUCAUAGGGAUACGCCCAACGUCGGAGAGGAUCAAUAACAAUUUUCUCUAAUGCAGUAGCACUCUUUAUUAAGAACAAGAUAUGAUCAACAGCAAAUGCACGCACACGAUACCCGACUAUUUCUACUACCUUGAGGUAAUGAUGGGGGCAUUUCGCAGCCUUCUUUAUUUUUUCUAUGCCCUCCAGGGAUACAAUGAAAUCCAACUGCGCCAAGAAAAAAUAAAUAAAGUGUAAGACAAAACAAGAACCAGAAGGAAUGUGAAAUCUAUUAGCAUGUUUCAUCACCCAGCAUAAUUUAACCUUUUUUGUUUUUGUUGUACUUUUCAUUCUUCAGAAUUGUUAAUGGAACCAAAAGAAGAUGAACAAAAUCACCAAAACUGCCCAUACAAAGACUUACAUAUAGUUUUAACUUUUACUAUGUAAUCUAUUGAGUACAAGCAUAUACCUUCAACACAAGUCUUUGCAAGAAAGGAGAUGCUUUUAGAAGAGAAGUUAAAUGAUGAAGAGCCAGACGGUAAUCCGCAUGAACUAUUAAUUCCAAAUGCUUGAGAUUUGCCAGCAUAGGAAACACAUGUUUCGGAUUAUAAUCCUGAAAACCAAACAAGGAACAAUGAGCUACAUAAUCCAUAAAAGAAGAAAAGAAAACCAACACACCAUAAUUACAUAUACUAACCGCUCUAGUGAUUUUCAGCAUGAGAAUCUCCAGUUGCGAAAGACAGCAUGAAAGUUUGCUAGAGAAAAGCUCUAUGAAUGCAUGGGGGUUGGAAAUAUAGGAAAUGGACACCUCUACAAGCAAUGGUACAUUAGUGAGAAGCAGGUUUAUCACAUUUCCAUUAUAUUUAAAUGAAACAAGGUUUGCCUCACAAAUCUCUAUGCCUUGAAGGCCAAGACAAGCUCCUAUAGCUAAAUGCUUCAAUGCAGCCGAUGGACGAACAACUCUUAAAUUAACUAGACUUUUUGUUCCGUACACGGUUACUCGUUCAAGAACUGCACAGUUGGAAAAGAAGUAUUCAAGAACUUCAUCAGUCACAUCAACCCAUUGGAAAUGAAGAACUUUGAGGAACUGAAAUCCAACUUUGUAUCCACAGGGGCGUAGACUUGGAAUGUAAGAAUACAAGCAUAGAAAUUUAUGAAGCACUGUCCUAUUGGUAAAAAAACUUCAACACGAAUGUUGUAACUCCCUUUUCAAUUGCAAACUGAAUCCAUUUGUAAACCGAUCAUUUAGUUGAAAGCAAGCCCUGAAUUCCUCGAUGUUUGGGCCUCUAUGUUGUUCCACCACACGAUUCACCCAAUUGACAUAUCUACCACUUUCCAGGUCUCUUAAUUUUCGUUUGAGGGCUCCAAAGUGGCAGAUAUUGCUACCAACAUCAAAGUUAGCAUCAAAGUUGAGAACCAUAGUGGACAUCCACACAUACUGCCAACGUCUAGAAAGUAUACUAGUAGCUGCGGCUUCCUUUAGCGGCAAGAGAGCCAAUAUACUGACAAGAAUUUCAUCUGGCAAUGCACUAAUUCUGUCCAACAAGUUGUACACACCUUUUUUUCCCUCAUUGUUUCCUUCACAACAUCUGCGUUGAUUUCCCAAGUUGCACUCAAACUUCUAAUUUCAUGAUUCAAUCACAUUGUUAUAUUCAAUUUACAUAAAGAAUAAUAAACAAAACAAUAAUAAUAACAAUAAUACCCACCAAAACACACCUAUAUACAAGAGAAAGAACAACGCAUUAAAAUUAUAUGGAGAAAUAAAAAAGGAUCCUACUUUUAAACCAUUUAGAUACCAGCGUAACUGGAAGGAGAAAAGAAAAACGGGUUCCAAUUUAUACAAGUUUAAUAUCUGGGAAAUGAAAAGGAUCAAACUUUCAAACCAAUUAGAUAUUCCAGAUGUAGAGAAUGUGCAAGGAUUGGAUUAGUUCGGUUUUUCCCCAAAACCACAGCUCAACCGAUUACAUUGGUUUGGUUUGGUUUUGACUAGCACCUCAAGGGUAACCAAACCAAACAAAACCAUUGUCGGUGGGUUUGAUUUUGCAGGUUUGGGCCUAACCCAAAUCCAUUGUUUCCACCUCCUGUUACAUUUACAGACCCUGCUACUGACUUUCAAAACCUAAAAAGUCCAGUCAAACCCAACCUGCUUACAAGCACUAAGCACUCUAUAAAUUUAAAACUUUCAAAACAUCAACAUUUCAUCAAACAAUCCUAAUUUCCAGCAUAUCAAACCUUCAAUGACUCAUCUAAGUUCACAAAUUUCCAACACAUUAAACAUUCACCAAGCAUAUCCAGCAUAUUCACAAUUCAGCAAGCAGGAAACAGAAAAUUAAUUAAGAGUGUGAGAGAGUAUUAAAGCAUGAAACAGCAUAAAUAAAGACAAAAUCUAUAAGAGAGAUAAUGAAACAACAGAAAAUAAUCAUUGACAACAAAUAUCAUCAAUUUUAUGAGACUAAUGCUAACGAUACCCCAAGUUAUCAGAACUCACCCCCAAGUUGUAUACACCCUUUUCCCCCUCAUUCUUCUCCAAGUUCUUUCCUUCACUACGUUUGCAUUGCUUUCCCAAGUUGCGAUUGUACUUCUAAUGGAAGAAUCAGACCAGAAAAACAAACAAAUUUUAAAUUAAAAAAAACAUGAAAAGAGUAAAGACAGGAAUUUUACCGGUUGAUCAUCUCUCUUUAAUUUCAUGGUUUCAUCACAUUGUUAAAUUUAACUUACAUAAAGAAUAAUGAAAAGAAAACAAGGAUAACAACAAUAAAACCAACCAACACGCACCCAUAUACAAGAGAGAGAACAAAGUAUGGAAAUUUUCUACAAGAUAGAUACGGAGAAAUAAAAAGGAUGUAACUUUUAAACCAUUUAGAAAUCUGGGUAACCAAAAAAAACAGGUGCCAACUUUAUACCGGUUUAAUAUCUUGGAAAUCAAAAGGAUGCAACCUUCAAACCAAUUAGAUAUCCAAGAUAUACAGAAUGUGCAAUUUCUGGGUCAUCUAAGUUCACUGAUUUCCAACACAUUAAAGAUUCAGCAAGCAUAGCCAGCGUAUUCACUUUUGACAAUUCAGUGAGCAUGAAACAGCAAAUUAAUUAGAGUAUGAGAGAAAAUUAAAGCAUGAAACAGGAGAAAUAAAGACAUAGUCUAUAAGAGAGAUCAUGAAACAACAAAAAAAAAAUCAUUGACAACAAAGAUCGGCAAUUUUAUGAGACUAAAUGCUAACAGAUACACAAGUCAUCAGUCAGAACUCACUACCGAGUUGCAUACUCCCUUUUCCCUUUCAUUCUUUCCCAAGUACUUUCCUUCACUACGCCUGUGUCGCUUUCCCAAGUUGCGUUCAUACUUCUAAUAGAAGAAUCAGCCCAGAAAAACAAACAAAUUACAAAUUUUUAUUUUAAAAAAAAUGAAAAAAGCAAGGACAGGAAUUUUACUGGUUAAUCAUCUCUCUUCAACUUCAUGGUUUCAUCACAUUGUUAAAUUUAACUUACACAUAGAAUAAUCAAAAUAAAACAAUCAUAAUAACUACAAUAAAACCAACCAUAACGCACCUAUAUACAAGAGAAAGAACAAAGGAUGAAAAUUUUCUACAAGUUAGAUACGGAGAAAUAAAAAUGAUGUAAAUUUUAAACCAUUUAGAAAUCUGGGUAAUUAAAAAAAAAAAAGGUGCCAACUUUAUACCGGUUUAAUAUCUGGGACAUCAAAAGCAUUUCAAACCAAUUAGCAAUUUUAUGAGACUAAAUGCUAACAAAUACCCAAGUUAUAAGAACUCACCACCAUUGGGACUGAGUCAGAUUGAUCCAAAAUCACCACGAAAGCAGCAAGCACACCACCGGUUAGCAAUUCGAGGCCUAGUUAAAUUCAAAUAUAAAUUUUAAAACAAAUUAUGUGAAGAAAGAUUAAAAUUAAUUUAAAAAUUGUUGAACAGGCUUACGAAAUUUCUGAGACUGAGACACUGAUCAAUUAGAGUGUGAGGGAGAGGACUGAGAAGAUCGGCUGACUUGGUUCGGAAGGGUUAGGCGAGGGACUGAGAGUGAGGCAUCGCGGCAGAAAGAAGAGAGAGAGAGAGAGAGAGAGAGAGAGAGAGAGCCUGGGAUGCUGACUGAGGAAGAGGAUUCGAAUGAGUUAUCGGAAAUAUCGAUAAUUUAAAAAUACGAAAAUUUCAAUGGAAAUAUCUGGAUAUCAAUAUCGAUAAAAAUUAAAUAAAAAUUACGGAAAUUGUAAGAAAAACUUGGAAAUUUUUAUUGAAACUUUGGAGGAUGUUUAUUUAGUCAAUUAUCUAUUAGUUUGUCACAAAAAAUUGGAAUGAAAUGCAUUGCAUAAUGGAUUUAAUUUAAGUUGAUUAUAUAGCGAGCUGACAAACACUAUGAGUGUAGAAAAUAUGUAGUAAUUAAUGAAAGAAGAUUAAACACACCACAAUCAUUUAUAUAUAAUGAUUUACUACAUUAUUUUACAUUUUAUACAUUUUAUACAUUGCAUGGUAAGAUACAUAAGUGACUUAAUACCACAUAGGGUUCCUAUAAGGUUCAAAUUUUUCACUAUCUUCAUCAUCUAGAAUAAGUGUAUUGUGAAGAGUAGUCAUCAAAUGAUAAAUUCCCAAAAUAGUUUUGCAUGUAAUUGUUAACAUGUCACCCAUAUGGAUCCGAGAUUGGUUGACGUAGUCCAUGAGCAAAAUCAUUUAAAGAUUGAGUCAGAUUCUUUUCAUGAGCUGCUCAAUUCCUUCCCAAAAGGAAUGGGAUAUGAAGGGUAGGGAAAUGAUUGGUUAUGAGUAUAAUCAUAAUUACUACUUCCCAUUCCAACAGAGUCCGAAGUUAUAGAUAACGAAUCAUCUUCUUGACUUGACAAAAUUGCCUCGCCUCUUUCUCUACGAGUAUAGUCCUUCCCUAUGGCACCAAUUCCUGGUCAUUCCCGCCUACUCUCAUGGUCCUCAUCUUGUGAACUUUGUUAAAGUAAGAAAUGUAAGGUCCAUCAUUCCUUAUCUGUCCAUGUCUCAAUAUUUAGAAGAAAAAAGAACUUACCACUUGGACGCCACAAUACAAAGCAAACCAAGGAUGACUAAUUUUACAAGAGGAAACACCUUGAAUCCCCUUUGUGUUUUUUUCCCUUUUUUUUUUCUUCAUCACAUCGAUAUUUUUGAUAUUUUCAAUAUUAUAGCGAUAUUGUAACAAAAUAUUGCUAAAGUGUGAGCGAAAUUAUCGACGUCGAUAUUUUUUGAUAUUAUUGUCGAUAUUCUCGAUAUUUAUAUGAUAUGUGCAUGGAUACGUUUCGAAAUAUCCGUGAUUCGAAAAAACGAUAAUAUCCUCGAUAUUUCAUCGAUAUUAUCGAUAUUUUAGACUAUGGAUAGGAGGGACAAACCUCAAAAAGAAAACAACUAACUAAAACAGAUCAAGCGAGGCCUAACAACUCUUAAAAAAUCAUCUUCUAAAAAAGAGUUAACUCAAAACAGGGCCUUAUCCAAAUAACUAACCCCCAAAUCCAAGUUAAAGUUCCAAUUAGCUAUACGAUCAGCAACAACAUUCAUUUCUCUGUAAACAUGAACAAAAUGACAGUUGCCAAUACACCUCAUAAAAACACAACAGCUCUGAAUUAAUGCAGCAAGAAGAUGACAACACAAAAUACCAACAUGCUGAACAAGGAAACGGUCCACUCUUCUACCACUUCCAAUCCAAAUACGGUAGAAUUAUGGGUUAUGUGGAAAAAUAGGGUUGGACCUACAGGAGAACUGAGGUGUGCUUCCCAUCUAAAAUAUAUAUAUACUUUUUUUUUAGUUGUUCACAUAUUAGGGAACAGUUAAAAUGUAGCACGAUACUAUGUCUUGUAAAAUUAUUUAUUAGAGGUCUAAAUAUAGACCUCUCCACCUACAGAUAGUCUAAACAUAGUCCAUCAUAAAAUUUAGCCCACCAUUUAUAUUUUUAACUUCAUGGGUCUCAAGGUCAUGUGCAAGGCAUGUGAUCACUUUUAAUUAUGAUUAUAAUACAUAUGGAUAUGUCCUUACUAAAACACACCACUUGUAAUAAUGGUCAAAGUUCAUGGACCAUCGGCAUAAAAAUUUUCAAAAUUAAAAUUAAAGAAACCAUCACCAUUUUUUUUCCCCCUAAAAAAAAUUGGUUUUAUAGUGUUGUUAAAUUGUUUAAUUGAUCUCCAACUAAAUCUCUUUGUCUUUCCCAAUCUUUCACUAUUUUCCUACUAUAUCUCAAAUUAUCUCCUCGUCUUUGCACGUGCCCCAACCUGUCUCAAAUGGAAACCAGAGUUUUAGAAUUGUUGAGACUUGACGAGCACAUCUCAUGUCUGAUGGCUUGCUUGCGCCAGGCGAACAAGGUAAAGUGAGAUCAAUAUCGCGAAAUCAACAACGACAUCGCCAUUACCAUUACCUGUCACUUGGACCUAGAAACUGUGAUUUUUCUCAAGAAAUCGAAGGGGGAUUGGAAUCCAAAAUAGUUUUUGGUUCGAUCUGAAGAACCUGACCAUGCUGAUCGUGCUCUGAAACGAACAAAGGAAAAGAGGGAGGAGAUAGCUCGAUUCUGGUUAUCCUCCAACAUCCCUUCACCACAACCAUCCACAUCCCCAAAACCAUCCACAUAUAAUAGAGGGAAGAACUAUGGCAAUAGUACUUAAAAAAUUGAAAUAGACGAUGGUUGCAGGUUGAACUAUAUAUAUAUAUAUAUAUAUAUAUAUAUAUUAUAUCUGUUAUCUUUGCUUAUGGCACCAGAUAAGCGUGACUUACAAACUAACAUGCGAUAUACAUUUUGUACAAGACUAAAAAUCCCACUGUUCGUCGACCACGAUGUUGCAUUGGUUAUCACCAGUGUUGCUGAUUCUGGUGGACUGGAGGUCGUUGAGUAAGUCCAUUUGCUUGGGCCUUUUUUUUGGUGGAAUUGCAGUCCAACUAGUGAGUGAGACAAACCGAAAAUGUUCAAGAAUUCAAUUGCAGUUGAUCAAGAAUUACUUAAUGUGUUUGUGAUUAGACUUGUUUUGGGGUUUAGGGUUUAGAGGGGUCAAUAGAUUGUGUAAAAGAAAAGGAAAUACUUGUUUUGGGGUCAUUAAGAUUGUGCAGUUCAUGCAAAAGACAACCGAAAGUUACUUGUGUUUUGUUAAGCGUUCCUAUUAUAUGUAAAUGAUCCCACUGGAAAUUCAGCAAUGUGAAGUGUACCCAGAUGUACUUGAAUUGUAUUUCUUGCAAUAUGUUACAGUAUGCAGUCCAACAAAAUCAUCAGCACAAGUGCAACCUAAUUACAAGAAUAGGUUUUUAACUUUUGUUAUCCAGUAAAAAUGAUCACCUGCCUUGGAGAUAAUAUUAAGCUAAGGACAAUUCCAUCUCUCAAGAUCAUAAGAAAUUCUUACAGUCGAUUUGGGGAAGUAAUUCAAAGCCCAAUCAAACACUUGGAGAGCUGGUGACAAAAUGGAGGGAAGGAUCGGGGUUUAAUUGGCUAAUUUAGUGGUGAUGUGCAAGGCAGGUGAUCAUUUUUAAUUAUGAUUUUAAUACAUGGAUAUGUCCUGCUACUAAGAAAACUAAUGGACCCAUACGUGUGUGAGUAAUCUCCUCCCUUAUAGUUUAAAUUAUCGCUUGUAUUAAAAAUAAAAAGAACCAAACCAAGGGACCCAAAUGUAAAAACAACUUUUAUGGUGGUUUAUCUAAAAAACCUCAAACCCCUCUCUCUCAAGAAACACUUCUAAAGCUGUUUUCACUUUGAGGGGGGGAGGAAGUCACUGUUCUUCCUCCCUUCUCCCCUCUUCUUUUCCUCCCUUCUCCUCUUCCCCCACUUUUAGAGACAAAAGAUUUCCCCUAUUUUGUCUUUUUUGUCUUCGUUUUGUUAUGAUUUUCCUCCAACCAUCACAGCCAGCUACAUCUCGACGUCGAAUCUCCACAUGGGUUUCGGCAUCGAAUCUCUACCACCAUCUAUAUUACAGUUUCUUUAUGUUUGGAAUAAGUCACAAAGACUCGUUGGGUUCUUUGUGUGGUUUUCACCUCUCCUUUUGUGAGAGCUUUUCACCUCUCAUUUGUGAGAGCUUUUCAUCUCUCCUUUGUAAGAGUUUUAUUUGUAUUGUUAUAGCUUGGUUUUUUCAAGCUUUAUCUCUUUUUUAUUAUUCUUAGUUUACAAUCUUAGUUGGGAUGCUUAUGGCAGAGUUUCUUCGAUCCUGCGUGAUCAUUAGUAGAGCCACAUCAGAUUGUCUUAAUUUUGAUGUUAGAUUGCUCCGUUAUUGUAAUGCCCUUUUGUGGCUAGUUUAUAAUGGUAUUUUGUGGCUAAUGACUUUAUUGACUGAAUUAUAAAUGCAAUCCUAAAAUUUCUCAACAACAAAAAAAGGACCCAAAUGUAACAAUGGUCUGCUUUGUCCAUCGGCAUAAAUUUUUUCAAAAUUAAAAGACUAUUUUUAUGAAGGAAGCUAAGAUUGGGCCAUUAAUUUUUUCUUUACCAGAAAAAAUAAGACCUUGUUUGUUCUUUUGACCUCUUUACCCUUUCCACUAUGUUGUGGAGGUAUUAUGAUGGGUUGAAAAAGUAUUUUGGUUUCUUCAUUAUAUGAGGUUGGGUUGAAAACUUGGCAUGGAUGCUGCAAUAUGUGAAUAAUUUUUGUUUUUCAAGUAACUAUGAACAAUCGAAUACAAACCAGGGCACUCAUGUGGGAAUUUGGAAAUAACAUAUGAAAUCUUGACCCCAUCCUUAUUAUAAAUAAAAAACCAUGCCUCUGCAUCAUAUAUGACGACAGCACCUUUGGCAUCUAUCCAUAUAUCAUAAGUUUCCCUUCAUAGUUACAUGAAUUUAAUAUUGGUGUGCAAUAUAUGAUUGUUUAAGCAAAUAGUAGAAGAAGAGAAUGAGAAAAUGCGUUUCAACAUUCAAGAACAGAAAGCUUUCUCGGCCACAUACAUGGAUAUCCAUUAAAAGGUCACCAUUGCUUCAAUUAAUUAUAUGAUUAACAGAAACAGUUUGAGCUUUUUUUCAUUAAUUAAAUGGGAAUUUGAAUGUGACAAGAGGAAUGUGUUCUGUAGCAUAGGAUAAAUGUGUCAGCAUGGGAUCUUCUGUUUUCAUCUCCAAGGAACCAGGUCAUUUGGAUUUGUCUGCUCAUAUCCAGUUGAUAUUUCCAAUGUUUCUUGUUUGAUUCGAGCAACUGAAAGACUGAAUGAGCAGAAAUUUGGGUUUUUUGCCUUUUUUUUCCGAGAUUGAUUCUGAGCAUUUCUUUCUUGUUUAUAAAGUCGAGUUUGGGGAACAGGUUUGUCUCAUUGCACUAUAACAAGCUCUAUCUAUCUAUGCCUUGCUUCUCAUUCCCAAACCCUAAAAUGACUUGCAUCUAUUCUUGUUUGUGGCCUUUUGCACUGGUGUCCAUGUUGUUAGUUGCUAUGUGCAGUUUCUCAGGCAUGAACAUGAGCCAUCAUCGUAUUGAUAGUCAUAUGUUGCUUCUUGUUUCUGGUUUUGGGAGAGAAUGUUUGUUGCUAAAUUGGAUGCUGCUUUCUUUGCUUUGCAGAUUGCUAUGAUCCUUUGGACCCAAAUGGAAACUUUACGAUUAUUUUCGACACUUAUGGUUGGACAGAUGACGGCUAUUUGGUUAGCAUGCUGUGAUUCUGCUCAAACCUUGAUGUUGUUUGGUUCAAUUAUAUCACCAGGAACAGAUUUUUAAAAACAACUAGAAAUUUUUUUGAAGCUGCACUUUUAACAUCCACAACUUUAUGACUGCCAAAUAUUCUGAGGCAAUUGGAAUCCUGUGAAGCUCAUACUUUCAUCAUUUUAGUGUACAUUUGUGUAAACUGUUAUCUCCAAAACCCCUAUUUUCUUAGUACAAGGCCUUUAUAAACUCUGUUUUUUUUAUUACAGAAACACAAUUUUUUUUGGGACUUCUAAAAAACUUGCACCUUCAACAUCCCAUUGAAGAUUUCAUCAUUUUAAUCUUCUUAGUUAGACUUUGUUUGCACACUCCUGCCUGUCCAACGACAUUUAUAGUUGUUCUGCACAAGGCUGAAUGUGUGAACAAACUUUGGAGUGUCACUUGUAUGUUUUUUAUUAUGAAAUCUUGAAAUAUUUGUGAGCAAGCCUAUACACAAUAUGCAACUACUAACAGAAACUUUUGCAGGCAAAAGUAACCAUCCAAAAUUUAUUUCAGUAUCGUCACGUGGACAAGCCUGGUUGGCAGAUUGGGUGGAUAUGGCAGCAGAAUGAAGUCAUUUGGUCAAUGAAUGGUGCCUUUGCCACAGAACAAGGAAACUGCUCAAACUACAAGACUGAUAUACCACACUCCUGCAAGAAAGAUCCUGAAAUACUUGAUCUCAUGCCUGAUGCUUCUUCAGAUAACAAAUCCGAAGACUGCUGCCGCAGUGGUGUUCUUGAUGCCCUGGCUAUCAAUCCCUCCAAGUCUUUCUCUUCCUUUGGAAUUAAAGUUGGCAACUUGGGAGGAGCUCCUUUUUCAGGACAUCCACCUCUGAAUCUUACUCUGAAUGCACCAGGUCCUGGUUACACUUGUGGGCCACUUAAGAGUGUUGAUCCCACAGUUUCUUUAGAUUUUGGGGGUAGAAGACAGCGCCAAGUUUUCAGUAAGCACUUUAACCAAUUCAUAUAUGCGGAAAUGUUCUCUUGUCAUACCAUUUGGUAACAUAAAACCAUUUUUUCAGACCACAAGCAACAGAAGUCUGUUAACAAAACAUUACCCUACGUAUGCAUACGUAUAAAAUUGAGAUUUUCUCCUAACAGUUUGUGAAUCAUAACCAUUGAUUAUAUACAGUUAUGUAUGAAUGUGGUUCAGAUUCACAGUUCUGACAUACAAUUAACGUAUGCUACUUCGGGAUUCUUUUUCUUACUUUGUUGGAUGAUAGGAAAACCUUUGAUGUUAGCAUUUCAUCAUUUACUUGUUUGCAGGAACAUGGAAAGCAAUAUGCACUUAUUCCAGUUAUUUAGCUAGUGAGACUCCAGUCUGUUGCGUUUCACUCUCUUCAUUUUACAAUCCUGAGAUCACAUCAUGCCCCAAGUGUAGCUGUGGAUGCAGAGAAGUAACAGACAAAAACUUCGGUACAUGUUUAAGGUUGGGUUGCUUUUUUUUUUUUUUGCUGCAUCCAUAACAGUGAGAGCUGCUGCUUAUGCAAGUUAAUUUGAACUCAGCUAAUCCUCUCUUUCUUUCUCUGUCUCUUCCUCUUUGUGAUAACAGGCCAGCUUACCCCUUCCCAGCAAUGUCACUAACAGGGGAUAAUUCAGGAGCUAAUUUUAUGGGUGCUCAAGACCCGGUGAAAUGCACAGAUCAUAUGUGCCCUAUUCGAGUUCAUUGGCAUGUCAAGACCAGCUAUGUGGAUCACUGGAGAAUUAAACUUACAAUUACUAACUACAACUAUCAGAGGAACUUCUCAAACUGGAAUGUACUGGUCCAGCACCCUGGUCUCUCCAUGAAUCCAAUAACGUAUAGUUUCAACAGCAAAUUGCUUCAGCCUAGCUUUAGAGGUACUUACUCUAUUUCGUAUCUGUUGUUCAAUAACGUGGGAAGUACAUAGAAUAAAUGUUGAACAUAAUCAACUUGGUUGUGUAGAUUAAUCUGUAGUAGAAAGGAUAAUGUAACUUUAACUGUUACAAUCCAGUGACGUGACCCAAUAAACCCUUACAACUCUUUGUACGUACAAAACUAGAUUGUCUGGUGACAUAAGCUCGUGAAUUCAUACGUACCAUUAGGUUAAUUGUAUAUGUGAUUGUGAUUCACAGUAUGACAACAUAAACACACAUGUCCGGGUAGUCUAGCAACACGAGUCUGAAAUGGAACAAUACCCUUUAUUCUAUUACCACUGUGAUUAAAUAAGUUCUAGUUUCUCAAACAUUGGAAACUGUUGCAGACGCAGUUGCCCUCUUCUGGGGUAUAGCCUUUGUUAAUGAAGAGCUGAUUGCUACUGAUGAGGAUGGAGUGGGUUCAGUGUCAACAGAGAUACUUUUGGAAAAAGACUCAGAAUCAUUCACAUUCAAAAAUGGAUGGGCUUUUCCAAGAAGGGUAUAUUUCAAUGGAGAAAACUGUGAGAUGCCCUUACCAGACACUUUCCCAAUGUUACCAAAUGGCACCUCCAAAACACAACCACCAACACAUUGGCUCUUCCAUCUUCUCAUCUUUUUGAUUUCCCAUCUUCUCAUCUUACAUGCCCUUUGAAUUUGAAAUCUGAUAAACUCACCCCACAAGCUUGCUUUGAGUGUUUUCCCCACAAUUUUUAAGCCAUUUUAUUCCCCUGUGGUCUUGAACUUGAUGGUUCUUAUUGAGUACAAAUUCUUAACUUUCUAUAUACAUUGUUUGCAGAGUAUAUACAUGAAUUGUAAUGUAUUUGCAAAAUUUGAUUUUGUUUUUGUUUUUUGGGCAGAUGUACAAUAAUUAUGUAACUGUUUGAUGCGAAUUGGUGUUGAUAAUUACAAUGUUGAUCAUACAAAUUUGUCAUAAUCUGUUGAAAGUCUUCAUUAAGAUGAUAUUGAUUUGAUAAACUUGGUCUUUAUUUUACUCCAUAUGAUCUAAUUAGUGUCUACCUCAACUAGUCUUUCCCCUUCAUUAUCAAAGACCCGUAUCGUAUCAAAUUUGUUUGUGUGUAAGUUAUCAUAAUAUCUUUUGACAAAAAAUUUGACAAUGCCAAAUUUAUGUUAACAAUUGAGGCAUCACUUUGGGGACUUCUCAUACAAAAUUUUUGUGACAUCGACACUCUUGAAAAUCAUUUGCCACUCAAACCGUCGGCAAUUUAGAUUGCCACGCAAACUAUAUAUGAUAUUAUAGUUGACUUGUAAAUCCAAUGUUCUACAUUGUAAAGUAGUAUUUGAUUCCAUCAUGAAACAUGGCUUGUCUUAAUUUGUUUGAUCUACAAACCAAGCAGACAAUAAUAAUAAUUAUUAUUAUUAUUACUUUGUUUAUUUUAACAACAACAGAAGAACCCCACAAAGAAAUAUCCCUGAAAAGUUGAAACCGUGCUGAUUAGAACACGUGGACCAAUGCUCUCUAAUCAUAGAUCAGCGUCACCAAUCAACGGUCAGCGAUCCAAUUCGAUGCAAUGCCUUCUAACUCAUUAAUUACGGAAUUGUCCUCACCCUCUGCCUCGUCUUCUCUGGUCUCUCAGCUGUAAAACAAAGUCACACUCUGUUUGAUUCAGAACUUAAAUUCUGUUUGGUUGACAAGAAAGAAAAUCGGAGAGAAAACAAAGGAAAAUAAUCCAAAAAGAAAAAAUUAUGUCUCCUCACGGCGACAAAUCGGACGCUGCAGAGGAAGCCUUGGUUGCUGAAACUGAGAAGCGCCCCAUUUCCACCAUCCUCAUCGUCAUCGGUACUUUUUCUCUUUUUCUUUUCCAAUUUUGAUAUUUCCACUCUCUAUUUUUCAGAUAUUAUUACGAUGUUUUUGAAUAAAAAUAGUGAUAUUUCCAAGUAACUUAACAGCUAUGCAGACUGAAGCUCUUCCUGUGGUGAACAAGUUCAACCUCACAGAGGACCCUGACUCCGUGUGAGUUCAUCUUCUUCUUUCAUCCUCAAGCUUGAAUCUUUUUAUGGGCUACUUUCAAUUUUUGGAAAAUGGUUCCUUUUUUUGGUUUUGUUUGUGAACUGCCCCCAUUACCAAACACGACCUUGGUUCAAAGUUCAAAGUUCUUGCUUUGCAAACUAUAUUCUACGUCUUAACUGUGGCUGGACAUGGCCUUGUUGUGCCUAAUACACAUGUUUUGUUGUGGCAUGCUCUUUGUGAUUGUUACAUUUUUUUGUUUCCUUCCAUAGGCUAUCAUCUUGUGUGCAAAUAUGGUUUAUUUCUUUGAAAUGUGGAGAUCAUCGUUUAGAAUUUUGAGCAUUAUAUAUCGGUUCAAAGAUUUUAAUCAGUUGGUUUCAAUUUUUGAUAUGUCAAUGUAUGAAUGAUGCAGGUUCCCAAAAGGGGUCCCUUGGGUCCGGUAUCAUGGGUUUUACAAAGAUCUUCAUAUUAAUUUAGUUUGGCCUGGAAAAGAUUCAUCUUUAGGUGAGUUUUUGACUCUCACGGGUUUUGGUUUCUCUUGUCAGGAGAGAUAGAAAUAAUUUGUUAUUAUACUUCCCUUCAUUGUCUAUGACCUUGUCAUAUCUCACCAGGACAUUAUUGAAAGGGUUUACAUGGUUAUCAGACUUAAAUGUGAUAUAGGAUCUUUAAGAUUCUAGAACUAGGCUGCAUGAACUUAAGGAUAUUUGUGGCUGGUUUAGUGUAAAAGGUUUGAACUUUUCUGUUUCAACGGGUAUAUAAAAGAAUAGGCUUUCAGUAUAUGCUAGGGAUGGAAAACUGCUUGUGUUUGAAUUGCCGCUCCUCCUUCAAAAGCCUCAUAUGUUAUGGUUGUUUCUUCUUUUUGGUCACUAUUGUUUAAUUAGAGCACAAAAAAAGUGGUUUUUGUUUCAUGGUCGUGUACCUCAUCCUCAAAUUUUCUUUCAGGAGUUGAUUGUGUAGGCACAGUUUCUGCGUCUCUUGUGGCCUAUGCUGCCAUUCAAGCGUUACAGCCAGACCUAAUUAUCAAUGCAGGCACUGCUGGUGGCUUUAAGGUAUUACCAACUUUUCUCUUGUUCUUGUACAAGAAGAGUUCAGCUCCGUUUUCAUUUUUCUCUCUCAUUUGAAUAUUAAUUGGAGAAGUUGUUAGUAUAAGGAAAAUGUGGAAUCCUCUUCUUACAAAGGACAGUGAAAAGUUUGAGGAUUGAACUAUUUGCGUUGCAGGGACCAUGAUAUUAAUAAGGAACUAUUUAUGUACACAUGCGAACUAUUAUUUAUGUAUGCAUUCUUGUGCACGCUCACACACACACACGAACUAAUUGAGUAUGAAGUAUGUGGACGUGCAGGUGUGUGAAGCAUCUUGACAUAUUGCGUAUAACUAAUUAAUGUAUAUUUUCAGGCCAAAGGAGCAGGCAUCGGUGAUGUGUAUCUCGCAUGUGAUGUUGCUUACCAUGAUAGAAGGAUACCCAUUCCUGUGAGUGUUCCUUUGUCUUUCCAUUAAGUACGUUUCAUGCUUGGUCUACAAUUUAUUGGAAGAUCUUAACAGUUUAGCCAUACCCCUUCUGAUACUUCAAACAUAGAAUUGAAAGUUGACGCCACUAGAAUUGAAGAUACAAUAUAUUUUGCUAGCUGAUGGAAAUAAUGUUUCUUUAACAACCACUUUCCUGCUUCCUGCUUCCGCUUAGAAAAUUUCUAAUCAAUUAUUCUCUAUCUUGUAUGCCUUCUACAGGUGUUUGAUCUAUAUGGAGUUGGUUUACGACAAGCCUGUGUAUCACCCAAUCUUCAAAAGGAACUUAACCUAAAGGUAAUUAUCAUGCAGCAAAAAGCUUGGACUUAUUUAAACACUUAAACCCUUCUUAAAUUGAAUAGCGUCCGAACCAUUUGAUAUAAUGUUGGUCACUUUUAAGUUUUGAAAUUGGAGUUCUCCAUUAUCUAGACCAAUGCACUUAGGCAUGAGUGUGUAACCUAUGGUACGGAUGUGCAUUACUAUGAUACUUGGGUUUCCUUUUCUUUGUAUUUGAUAGCUUCACAAGUAUUGGCAAUGUCAUUUAUGGUUUCCCUCAUGCUUCAGGUUGGUAAACUGUCUACCGGCAACUCUCUAGAUAUGUCCCCGCAGGAUGAAGCAUCGAUCAUUGCAAAUGAUGCUACAAUUAAAGACAUGGAGGUAACCUUAGCAUUCUUCUUAGCAUUGAUCAGAGUAUCCCUGCUUUUUCCUGCAAAGAGUAUUGAACCUAUUUGCAUCUCUUAGACCUAAUAUUGGAUAGCUGCAAAUUUGGACGACUUUAUACAUUGCCCAACAGUCAUUUUUACUUUUAUCCAAUAGUCAAUUUUACUUUUUACUUCUAUUAAAGCAAAUUUCUUUUGCUGAAUUUUUUUUGGCUUUCAGGGUGCUGCUGUUGCCUAUGUGGCAGAUCUGUUGAAAGUCCCAAUCAUAUUUGUUAAAGCUGUGACUGAUGUAGUAGAUGGUGAAAAACCAACUGCAGAAGAAUUCUUGCAAAAUUUGUCUGCAGUAACUGCUGCUCUUGAAGAGAAGAUCACCCAAGUUAUCGAGUUUAUUAACGGAAAGUGCCUCUCUGAUCUUUGAAGCAUUGCAUCCAAACUUAAUGAAACAUUUAUGUGAUAUUAGCAUGUCCCUGGACCGCGGUUGAUUAGAUAUCUACAGAUUUUGGUAAUACCUUAUUUGAAAGGUCCAACAGCAACAGUUCAUAGUUUGUGUAACUAUAUUUAAACAGUAUAUUCGGUGGUUUAAUCACGUGUUCUCUUUUUUAAUUUAAAAAUAUUUCGUGAUAAUGUGUCGAUAACAUUCUCGCCAAUUAAAUAUACCUACAUGUUAUCAAUACAUUUUCGAAGAUGCGCAUUCGCUCUUUAAAGAACGCAUCUUGCACAGAGAAUUUCUAGUUUGUUACCUUUCAAAAACUCAAUGCAAGGAAUAACGGAAUAAUUUUCUCAUAUGCUUUUUUCAGUAUCCUAGCUGCAUGCUUGCUAUUAUACAAUUAUAUUAGAGAGUAUGAGUAGAAUAUUGCUAUGGAUCAUAUUGAAAGACAUCAUGUCAACCUUUAGUGCAUACUCCAUACUCCAUACGUACUCAAUGACCUUAAUGAGCAUGUGAGUGACCCCAAGGAGAGCAAAGAGAAUAGACCAAAAUUAAAGAAAAAAUUUUAGAUUAAAAGAGAAUAGAUUUGGUUGUCAAAGAAAAAUUUUUAAGGUGAAAGUGAGGAUGUAUGAAUUGAUAUAUGAAAUUUUAAGCAGAAAUAACUUGUUAAAAAUACAAAAAUCAAAACUAUAACUAUUCAAAAAUCAAAAAAUAAAAAUAUAUACAUGAAUCAAACUCUUAUUUAUUUACAAGAAGGAACUUAAUAUAAACAAAAAUGAUUGGCACCAAACAAUAUGAUGUGGCAUUUGGCUGAUGUGUAGUACUACGGACUUGCCAUGUGGCACUGAAGAGUUCAGUGAAGGACACGUGGCAAGGGUAGAGUAAGAAGGGAUUGACACAUAAGCUCCAGGUACACUUGGCUGCUUGCCACCAAACCAAAGGCCUCUUCUUCUCUCUCUAUCCUCUCAGCAGUAAAACAAAGUCACAGACUCACGCGCUUCUCUCUUGGUUUGAUUGCGAGGGGGAGCAUAACAUUUUGUGUUUGGUUGGCAAGAAAACAGAAAACCCAGAGAGAAAUCAAAAGGAAAACAAUAAAAUAAAAAUGGCUCCUCAUGGCGACAAAUCGGACGCUGCAGACGAAACCAUGGUUGCUAAAGCUGAGAAGCGCCCCAUUUCCACCAUCCUCAUCGUAUUGGGUACGUUUUUUAUCUUUCCCAUUUUGAUAUUUCCACUGUCUCUGGUUUAUAAAUUGCACUCUUCUUCAGCUACUAUAACUAGUUUUCUUGGAUAAAGUAAUGAUCUUUGCAAGUAACUUAACAGCUAUGCAGAGUGAAGCUCUUCCUGUGGUGAACAAGCUUAACCUCUCAGAGGAUCUUCAGUCUGUGUGAGUUCAUCUUCAUUCAUUUUCAGUUUAUAAUCACUUUAUCUGACUUCGAUUAGCAAAGUAACACAUCAAAUAGGAAAUGCCCUCAUGAAUUACCAAACACAAUCUUCAGCUGAAAGUACUUGCAUUGCAAACUAUACACCACAUGUUUAAUUUAAUUUUUAGAAUUAUAGGAGGAGUGUAUGAUCUGCUUAAAAAAAUUUAAUUAAUUUACUUGGGUGGUUUUCAUUUGUUUGAUAUGUCAAUACGUUAACAAUGCAGAUUCCCAAAAGGGGUGCCUUGGGUCCGGUAUCGCGGUUUUUACAAGGAUCUUAACAUUAAUCUAGUUUGGCCUGGAAAAGAUUCAUCUUUAGGUGAGUUUUUGAGUCUUCUGAGUUGGGAGUUUUCUUAUCAGUACAGUAUAUUUUGAAAUAAUUGAUUAUUUGUUUCGGCUAUUGCAAAAUCACUCCUUCAAAAGCAUAAUAUGUUAUGGUUGUUUUUUUCCCUUUUGGUCUAUUUUAAUCAGACAUAAAAAAUGUAGUUGCUUCGUUUCAAUGUCAUCAAUUUUUCUUUCAGGGGUUGAUUGUGUAGGCACGGUUCCUGCAUCUCUUGUGACCUAUGCUUCCAUUCAAGCAUUGCAGCCAGACCUAAUUAUCAAUGCAGGCACUGCUGGUGGCUUUAAGGUAUUUUGUUUUUCUACCAACUUUGCUCUUCUUCUUAUAAUAAAAUUUCAUUUCUGUCCCUUUGUGAGAUGUUAAUAGGAGAAUCUGCAUUACUGAAAAAUUAGGAUCCUCUUCUUAGAAUGGAUAUUGAAAAGAUUGAAGAUUCAAAUAGUGAAUUGUAUAUAAAUGAAACAAAUGCACAAGGGGACUUGCACACAAAACAUUUAUGUAUAAAGUAUGUUGAGAUGUAAAGAUAUUGUGUGAAGCAUCUGGCAUUAAUUAUUAUGUAUGACUGAUUAAUGGAUGUUUUCAGGCCAAAGGAGCAUGCAUUGGUGAUGUGUAUGUCGCAUCUGAUGUUGCUUUCUGUGAUAGAAGGAUACCUAUUCCUGUGAGUGCUCCUUAGUUUCUUCAUUCAAACACUUGUCAAUGUUUUCACGCUUGAUUAAUUGGAUAUAUAGCCUACGGAACUUGUUUUCUUAACUGGAAAAUAGGAAUUCCUGUUCGCAAUAUUGCUGAUAAUGACCAAUCUUUUAUCAAAUAUGUUACGGCAGAGGUUCCAAAACAAUUGCAUCUUUUUCCAGUGUCUUUAGUCAUUGUUUCUGGUAGGGAGAAUUGAACGUUUGUUGCUAUUAUGUGGCCUAGAAUGGUUAAAAACAUCAAACGUUGGAAUGGAAUGGAUUAAAAUACUCAUUAUUCAUUAGAAGAUAAACACUUGCCAAUACCCCUUCAUUCUUUUGAUAUCUACUUUUCUGAUACUCAAACAUAUGUGAUUACUUUGAAAUUUUCUACUCAAUAUUUAUCUGUGGCAUGUAUGUCUUCUACAGGUUUUUGAUCUAUAUGGACUUGGCUUGCGACAAGCCCUCUCAACACCCAAUCUUCAAAAGGAACUUAACCUAAAGGUAAUUACCAUGCAGCAAAAUUCUUGGACUCAGAAGCUUCCAAAUCAUUUGAUAAAUUCUGGUCAGUAAAUUUUUUUAAUUUGGAGUUGUCCAUUAUCUAGAGCAAAUGCAGUUAGGCAUCUGUCUGUAAUUUAUGGUAGAGAUUUGCAUUAUCAUGAUUCAUGAUACUUGGCUUUCAUUUUCUUUCUAUUUUAUAGCAUCACAAAUAUCCACAACGGGAUUUAUAGUUUCCUGCAUGCUACAGGUUGGCAAACUGUCGACUGGUGACUCUCUACAUAUGUCCACACAGGAUGAAGCAUCAAUGGUUGCGAAUGACGCUGUAGUUAAAGACAUGGAGGUAACCUUGUAAAUAAAUCAUAGCUUUCUUCAUAGCAUAUAAGAUAAGGGUAUCCCUACUUAGUUCUGUUGUAUUCCAGAGUCAUUUUUACAUUGCAUUAAAGCUUUUUUUUUUUCUUUCCGAAAAAACAAAAAUUGGGUUUCAGGCUGCAGCUGUUGCCUACGUGGCAGAUCUGUUGAAAGUACCCUCAGUAUUUCUUAAAGUUGUGAUUGAUAUAAAAGAUGGUGAGGAAACAACUGCAGAAGAAUCUUCGCAACGCUUCGCAGCUCUUGAACGUGCGGUCACCCAAGUUACUGAUUUUAUUAAUGGAAAGUGCCUCUCAGAUCUUUGACACAUUUCAUUGAAACCUAUUGUAGUGAUGAAAUUUGACAUGAAAAAAAUGUCCCCUGGACUGCAAUUAUUAGAUAUCUGCAGAUUUUGGUAAGUUGUUAUUCUAAGUCCAACAGAAACAGUUCGUAGUUGUGUCUCUAUAUAUUAUAAACUCUAUUGUGCUGACUUAAUAACAAGUAAUCUUCUGCUUUUUUAUAAGUUGGCAUAUUCUUGGUGAACCGUCUGUUACCUGCUCGGAAGCAGUUUGAAGGUUUAAUCCUUGUUUAGAUGGUCAUUUUCUGAGUUCUGGUUGUCUGAGGCUGUUCUUCCACGGUACAAUGUGACUUGAAAUGUGACUUGAAUAAGCUCUAUUUUCUUAACAAUGCCUGGCUUCUGAAAAUUAAAAAUCAAAACUAACUUCAAAUGGAUUUUUAGUUUUAAGAACAAAAGUAUCAAAAUUUAACAGUAAAUAUUGACCUGAAAUAUUCUGCUCAACCAAAUUGGUCAUUGGUCCUUGAGGCCGGUCGAUGUUUUUCAGCUUCACACUACGCUACAUGUGUGGUGACCAAAAACAAAAUGUUAAAUAUAUAGGUUUUGUAUUUGUAACAUCAAUUGCAGACAUUCACACAUUGAGGGGUCAUGCAGAUUCAAUUUUAAUUACUUCUCUCAGCCAGGACAUGCCAAACCAGUGGGUUUUAGUUUUAUGAUUCUGUGAACAGAAUAGAAGUGAUCUCGGGACCAAAAGUAUAUAUAGAGAAAAUAAAUAUUUGAUUUCAAAUGUAAAACACCACCAGUGCAACAAAUCUACAUGAACAACUUGCUUCUCAACCUCAGACCAACCCUUUAUCUGCACCCUGAAACAUAAUCUACAUGAACACCUUACUUCUCAACUAAACCACUAACCUAUGUAUAAGAAUUGCACACCGCAUGAUGUUUCUCCCUAUAUGAAAAUGUUUAACACCAUAUGUCCCUUGAGUUUAAUCUAAUGUCAUAAGUAUGCGGUGGAACUGUAUAUAUAUUAGCAGCCCAAUAGUUGUUUUACUGCAAGGUUCAGAAGUUACAAGACCUCUUAUGCUAGAGACAUAUCACCAAGUGUUUUGAAAGACAGACAAGCGAACUACGAGACAUGGGGAGUGAGCAUGUUGGGCAGGGAGGUUCCAUAAUGAAGGCCAACGGCGGCAGAGCGACGAUUUUGGCUCUUGGCAAGGCCUUCCCUCAUCAGCUUGUCAUGCAGGAUUUUCUGGUUGAUGGGUAUUUCAGAGAUACCAACUGUGAUGAUCCUGAACUUAAGCAGAAGCUGGCUCGACUCUGUAAGUCCAUCAACUAAAGUUCUUUUUAUUUUUCUAUUUACAACAUUGACACACCAAUAAUUGCGCACAGCCAUUAACCAAAAUAUGAUCAUACAUUGUAAAAUCAAGCUACUACACAUAUAGACUGCGCAUGUGGAUCUUGUGAAGGGAAAUAUUCUCUUGCCAAACCUUUUAUCUGUAUCAUUAAUCAGGUGAAUUUUUUUUGGAACGUAUGAUCUAUAGUAACAAUCUAACAACAUAACAUACUAGAUAUCUUGAUAGAGCAUAGUGUCCUAUGUAAUUUAAAGGCAACAUUAUAUGGUUUUAGUAAUUCUUAUAUGGCAAUUCACAGGCAAGACAACAACAGUCAAAACUAGGUAUGUUGUCAUGUCAGAUGAGAUUCUAGAGAAGUACCCAGAGCUUACAACUGAAGGCACACCCACUAUAAAGCAAAGACUGCAUAUUUGUAACGAAGCUGUAACACAGAUGGCAAUUGAAGCUUCAGGAGCUUGCAUCAAGAACUGGGGGAGACCUAUUUCAGAUAUAACACACUUGGUCUAUGUCUCAUCCAGUGAAGCUCGACUACCCGGUGGUGACAUUUACCUAGCAAAAGGACUUGGCCUCCGUCCCGAGACUCAAAGGGUCUUGCUUUACUUCUCAGGCUGCUCGGGUGGUGUGGCUGGCCUUCGUGUUGCCAAGGACAUUGCUGAGAACAAUCCAGGAAGCAGAGUACUACUUGCUACUUCUGAAACCACUAUUAUUGGCUACAAACCACCAAGUGCACAUAGACCGUAUGAUCUGGUUGGUGUUGCACUAUUUGGGGAUGGUGCUGGAGCCAUGUUGAUUGGCUCAGACCCUGACUUAAUCUCUGAAAAGCCUCUGUUUGAGCUUCACACUGCCAUACAAGAGUUCCUGCCAGACACCGAGAAGACCAUUGAUGGAAGGGUCACAGAAGAGGGGAUUAGUUUCAAGCUAGGAAGAGAGCUUCCUCAGAUAAUUGAAGAUCACAUUGAAGGGUUCUGUGGGAGGUUGAUGGGAGUUCUUGGAUAUGAUAACAAGGAGUACAAUAAGAUGUUUUGGGCUGUUCAUCCAGGAGGUCCUGCAAUCUUGAACCGGUUGGAGAAGCGUCUUGAUUUGUUCCCAGAGAAGUUAAAUGCCAGCCGACGAGCUCUGACAGAUUAUGGCAAUGCUAGCAGUAAUACCAUAGUGUAUGUGCUGGAGUACAUGAUAGAAGAGAGCAAGAAGAUCAAGAAGGAACAGCAAGAAGGAGAUGGUGAAUGGGGAUUGAUACUGGCUUUUGGACCUGGAAUUACUUUUGAGGGAAUUCUAGCAAGGAACCUUGCUGUCUAAGCAUAAAGCCAAAUCUUAGAUAGCUCACUAGAACUUUUAUAUCUGCUGUCAUUAGGCCACAUGAGGUGCGCUUAUGUUUAUGUAAUUGUCUUUCCAUUGAUUUCAAUUGAAUAUAUAAGACUGAAGUUCUUAAAGUCUAACAAUCCUUAAAAUCAGUCCAAGUUUAUUAUUUUGUUUUCGUUCCAACCAAAUGACCCAAAAUCAAUUUGUGAUAAUUGUUGUUUACCCUAUAAUCUAGAAAUUCUUGCUUACAACAAGGUUGUUAUACACGUGAGGUUAGAUGCGAGGGUGUUGUAUUCAAACCGUCCUACGCAGGAAUUUUCCCCUACAAUCCUUGAUAGAUACGAAUUUUCUUGGGAUUAUUAGCUGAAGUGUCACAGGACAAGUGGGAUUAGUAACCUUAAUUUAAGGUAGGACCAAGAAAAAAGACCCAAAAGUCGGACAUAAAAAAUGCAACAAAGACCUAAAAAUUGUGGUGGAGCCGGUGAAGUAGGCACUUGGUAGAAACAGGAAAGCAGUUUGUGGUUUGAUAGUGCUGUAGGAAAUUGAAUAUUGAACCAAUGAAAUGAAGCAAUGUGAAUCCACUCAAGUUGGUGGGCAGAUGGCAGACAAGUGCUUUACACUUUGUCCUGCAUCCAUUGUUAAAUAUAUGCUUGAACAAAUUAACUGGAUGUAGAAAGAAACGAUUCUGUAGUAGUGAACUUUAGCAAAUGUUAGCACCUAGUAAGAAAAGAUGAAGCAAUUCAGAAAAGUCAUGUCUAAAUUAUAAAUAUAAAUUAAAUUCACUCCAUCUCCAACUUUACAAACAACCCACUUCAUCCCCAGUCAUGAUUUUUUUUUCAUUAAAAAAGCGAACUAGAACCUUGUGGAGAGCAAAAAGGGAAACUUAAACAACAAUGACCAGCCACAUGCCUAGCUAAGUUAAGUCUUGAUGGCAGUGCGCUUGCAAAUCACAGCAGAACUGGAGUGAACUCAUACAACUCCAGAAGGGAGACGGAGGACUAGCUGCCCUCCAAAAACACUGCCAAACAAAAACAUCCAUAAUAGGUAAGGGUUGAAUGAAAUAAAAUAUACAUUUGGGGGAAGAUAAUUGCGAUGCAAGUAAACUUGGCAAAGAAUAUAAUGGAUUGAGGCCCAACCUUUUGACAUAGUAGUAACAGAAGUCUGCUAAUAUGAAAGUCUGAACAAUUUCUGAAAUAAGAACCAUAGAAGGCCAUAACCCGUAGCCCAAGGCUACAAGCAAGUGUCCGCGAGUAUCUAAUACCUGUCGGAGCAAUAGAUAAAAAUUUAUUAGCAGCAGAAUGCAAAGAACUCAUACCCUUUAACAAAACUAAAAUAAUCGCAGCAACAUACUCGUCUAAGAUUUUGACCAUUUAAGCGCCCAUAUACAGUACUACAUAAUUAGUACAAGUGCCAAAGCUUGGACAGAUGGACUACAAAAAUCAAAAUAUGAAAAUUUGUUCUAUACUGUUCAUCUCAUCAUCAAGAUGCCACUUCCAAAUAUGACACUAAAGCAACUCAUCUUGAAACAUGCAGAAUGACCAUUUUUUAAAAUGCCACAAAUAAAUCAAUCUAAAAUAAAAGCAAACAUAUACAAAAAUCAAACCUGGAGAACCCAAUGGGCACAACUGAGGAACCUUGCGACACCCAGUGCAAACACAUAAUGAGCUGUGAAUGGCUCAACAAUCUGAAAAGUACAAAAAGAAGAUGAAUCAUAGGGGAAACUAGUAGUAUGCAGUCAAAUUCGUCAAACCCAUAAAAAUACAAGUUUUUCAUUCUAUGAAAUUAGACCUUUGUGUUCUGCAUGACACGCAACUGGGGCAGUACAGAAACAGCUUCCAGAUACACACAAAAUGCCCAGGAAAUCCUGUUCAAUAAAUGAUGAGACGUCGAUGGAUGAAUGAACAAAGCUAAAAGAGCACAUGGUACCACCUGCAUCAAAUAAAAUAAAAAGUAAGGAUAUUACUACUAGAAAGAAAGCAACUUCAUUAAUAGCAAUAGCAAGCAACAAUAUAACUUCGGUCCAGAAUAAACUUCACAAUGCAUCAUGACUGAAAGAGGAAGUCAAUCAAUUUGCCCCCAAUAAUUGUUCAAGAUGUAAUAAUGCAAACUGACAAGAUCGCACACCCCAAUAAGCAUUAAUUUUUCCUUAUCACUUUGAUCAGAGACUCGAGCAACGAAAAAAGAUAAUGCUUUUAUAAUCUGUGAGAAUUCUCCUUCACAUACACACUCUUAUUUGAAAAGAAAACAGUGAUGAAGAGAGAAACUCACGACAUAGUAUAUUGCAAAAUUGUCUUUGUCCUCCAUGUAACUAGACUUUAAGUUGAAGCGGAUCAUAUAAAUAACCCAGAGGGUCGUCACCAGCGUAGCUAAAUCAAGCAGGGUGUGUAUAUCAUAUUCCAUCACAAAACUGCAAUACAAUCUCACAGCUAAAAACAUAGCUGUUAACUCCUGGGAUUUGAGUGAUAACCCUGCAAACAAUUCCAGUAUUUCCCAAUCAAAACAUGAGUUUCAUAGCAUAGAACAUAUUCAACAGGUUGGUGAAAAUAAAGGGAGGAAAAUUUAAAACAGAAAAGAAAAACAUACCGGAGAUAAAACAUGUAAAAAUUAAAAAUAAAACUAAAACUUUAGCCUUAUUAAUCUUCUUUUUUUUGAAGGAUAAGCUUAUGAAUUUCUGUUCUAACAAUUAUAUUGUCAAGCCAAUAAAUCCCAGAUUUUUCCACCGUUCAUAACAAUUUCUCAUCAAACAAACAAAACCCAAUAAAGGAUUUGCAUGUGAAAUUCCAGUCAUCCUAAUAUUGAAGAACCCCCAUUCGCCGCAAUAGAAAAGUUUGUACCAAAAUCGAAUCAACACUUUCCAGCAUUCCUAAAAAUUGUUGGGAAAGCCAAACAAAACCAACAAAGGGAAAACAAACAAAAAAACCCUAAAAAGGUCAAUACUUUACCAGCACAAGUCUUCUCCUUCGUGAGCUUGUAGAUUAGGACCAUGAUUCCAAUUGAGUGCACAGCCUCAGCUGCAACAAAGAGGUUAUCGUGAUCGUGAACGAUAAAUCGGAGCACGACCAGAGCCGCCAUGCCCGUUACGACGGCCAGAAAGGCCUUCACUUUCGGCGGCUGGCGUCGAACCCAUGUCGAUACGGUGUGGAUCGGCCUCUUCGGAGCCCUCAUGAGGUUUUCCGUUGUUUUUCUUUCACUUUUUUUCCUUCUCUGAUUUUCUCGGGCUCUUGAUUUUCCCGGAAAGUGUGAUGAGGGGGAGAGAAAGUGAGGUAACUUAGUCGUUGUGGUGCGGAACAGCCUCUGUUGAGAGAGAGAGAGAGAGAGAGAGAUUAGGACUGUUUUGCAAGGGAAAAAAGGAUUUUGCGAAGGCAAACAUUUUCUUCUGUGAUUUCGGGUGGGUUAUCCGGGCACCCGAAUUAGAUAUCCGGACCCAAGUUUAAUAAAAGAAGACGUACUACACCCGUUGCAUGUCGUUUUUAGCAUGCUUCUGAAUUCUGAUGUGUCGUUUGCACUGAACGUGAGAAUGUGGCGUGUGGAUUGGAUGACAAGGCAAGGCACCGUUCUAUAUUUUUUUAUUUUUUUUAGAAACAACUUUUACGUUUCGUUGCUUACCACAGACCAUUGCGUACGUAUAUACAUAAUCUAUAUAUAUAAAGUAAAAGAUAGGGGAUGGUGAAACAUUCAAAAUACCAGAAAAUAUUUUUGGUUAAUUCAAACAUUAAUAAUUGAAAUUAUUAAUUAAAUUAGGAUAAUAUGGUAAAUUCAUAUUUUUUAUACUAAAAACAUUUAAAUUAAAAACAAAAUCAAAUAAUAUGUACUAUUUUUAUGGAACAUAACUACCUAUAUUAUCUUUUCUUAAUUUUAAAAAUAAAUUUUUUUUUUUUUAAACAAUUGGCACAUGCUAGGACUACUAUAAUAAAUAAUUAUAAAACUAUAAGUGAAAAAAAUUUCCGUAUCCAACACAAGUUGGAAUUUGGAAAUUCUAUUUCUUGUGUUGUUUUGUCCAGAAUCAUAUUUCAAAAAGAAUUCUGCAUGUCCAAUAAUUAUAAAUAAAUAAUAAAGAAUUCUAUAUGUACAACAUUUUAUCACAGAGGUAAUUGGUUUAAGCCAUUUAUGAUUGAAAAAGUAUCAACUCUCUCGUUCACUCAUAUUAUAAUACGUUGAUAAUAUAUCUGAUAAAUACAUAUAUUAUAAGUAUAUUAUUAAUGAAUAAAUACAUGUAUCAUAAGGGGACUGUAACACCACUUUUUUAAAAUUUAUAAUUAUAAUGAGGAUUUCUAGAUUGACAACCAGAAUUACCAAAUAGGCAACAACCGAUGAUAUAUCACACACCAAUCAGAAUAUGACACCUUGACCUUGUGGAAGGUUAUCUUCCCAAAAUUUGGUGAACUAAAUUCUUACUUUCCCAGCAGUUCUGAAUGAAGGCUUUUUGGGGCUGACUAGUGCUCAAAAGUCUUCCAAUGAACAAUAACAACUCCAACACAAAAACAGGCAGCAAACAAAUUGCUCUUUUUCAUUAGUGUUUUAACCAAAAUAUGACUUUGGGCUUAAGUCUUUGUUAAGGGAAAGUCCCUGCAUCAAUCUCAUCUCUUCAAGGUGGUAUGACAUAAUAUGGUUUUCACCACAAACACGCACAGAUUUUUUUGGGGGGGGAGGGGGAGAGAUAGAGAGAUAGAGAGAGAGAGCUAUAAAAAAAGGGUUUUGUACUAGGAAAAGACAUAUUACAAGCAUACUACAAACAAGUAGCUUAUUUAAAAUGAAGAAGCAAGAAGCUAAUACUUCAUUGUAGUUGGUCCCCUUCAACUCCACCUAACCACUAAACCGACAACCCUUGUGCUGAGUAGGUCAUAGGUUGACCAAUCGAAUUAGCAAGUCCACGAAUUUGAUCUCUUCAUUGCCGGCUUCAUCUGUUUGUCUUCCUCGAGCGCUAUCAUACCCAAAUGAGACGGGUCUUCCAACAACAUCUUUGCUACCAAGUACCCCGCUACUGACCAGGUCUGGAAUUUACGGGCCUGCUUCCCAAUGUAACGGCCAAGUUUCCCAUCAUAGUAUUCAGGCCAAUUGUCUUUCAGCAAUCUGCUCUCAGCAAGUUCAAUGGCACGUCGAGCAAUCUGGGGCCGCCCAGUCUUGAUGCAUGCAGCAGUGAGAAGCCAUAACAGCACUGUAUCAACCACAAUGACAACAUGUAAUUGGCAGGAAAAUAAGGGAACACACUAAAAAUAAUUUAUCAUUACCGCAAAAUUUAAUUAUCAUGGCACGAAGUAUAGGCAGGUAUAUAUGUAGAGUAAUCAAGCUUUAGGCAGGGUAAAAAGACUAACACUUUUUAUUUCAAUCCAUCGCUAAUAACUCAUGAUCAAAACCUUCAAAACCUUUCUAGUGAGAAAAAUGAUAACUUCUCAAAAAAUUUAUGGAGUAAAAUAGUUAUGAAACUUCCUACUGUACUUGCAUCUGUUGCUCUGUCCUAUUAAACUCCCAUAUUCUCUCAUCUUGUCUGCAAUUAAUUUGCAGACAUUCAGUCCAUGCCGAGAUAGCGUUGAUGCAGUCUUGAAAAUUUUCAAGCACUGAAUUAUAGGGAAAAAGAAAUUUGCACCAUGGAUAGAGAAAUGCGGACAAAGGAGGAUGAAAGGGAAAUCUACAAAGUAGUGCAUAAUAAGGGUAGGUUGACUAAGGCUUCAAUAUGCUUUUAUGGACUUGCAGAAUGGCCAUGGCACUGGCCUAGGCCAAAGGAGGGGUGGAGGAGGCGGCAUGGGAGGAGAAUGGGGAGCAGGGGAGGCAUUCUCCUUUUCCAAUCUUUUUCUACUGAUCGAUUGUGCAGUUUCCAUAACGCCAUCAGUAGUUACGGUAUAAUUUUGUGCAGAGAAGGCUAAAGUGAGCAAGCAUACCUGGCCAAGACCCUCCGUUGUGGUAGCUCCAUCUCGUAUUUUUCGGGUCGCAGCCUGUUACAAUCCUCCAUUCAUGACUUUCUAUAGCUGGAUAACAAACCUUUAGUGGCAUUUCUCCUGCCAAUUCCUCCCAUCGUGAUUCUAUGAGAUCCAUUAUUGCCAUGGAUUGUUCUGGGGUUGCCAAGGAUGAAAGAAUUGCUAUACAAUUACCCAAGCAAAACCAACGGAAAUCCAUUCUGGCGGGACUGAUAUUCCCAAUAAAGUAACCACCACGAGUUGGCAUAAAAUCAAAGACCCAUUCUGGAAGAGAAUCUGGUAUCACAUUGAACUUGUUGACUGCUGUAUGUGAGUACUCUUCAGUUUUAUAUCGAUAUAUGUCAUUUAACUGCUUGAAGUCUAGCCAAAAGUAACUUCUCAUGUGAUAGCUCAAGGCAUGAAGGCGUUUUACUAUGCGCUCUACAAACUCCUUCCCCUCAUCAUCAUGCUUAAGCAAAAGCAAAGCACAUCUUAAAGCCAUGAAAAAAAGAGCCUGAAUUUCGAUGGGGUACCCAUAGACACCCUAAAAACACAAAUCCAAUACAAAAGUGAGCUUAAGGAAUUGAAAAGAUAGGCAACACAUAACCAAAAUAUUAAAAAGCAGCAUAUCUAUCUUAAAACGCAAAAUUGAAAGCAGCUAGUAGUGAUGACUGAUGAAGAUCAAUAAAUGCUCUAACAAGAGAGUGCCCACGGUGCCUCAUAUUACAUAAAAAGUUCUCAACAGUCUCUGCACCAAAACAUCACCAUGGGUUUAGUUGCAUGAAUUGACCUCUGCCAGGGUCAUAAGAACCUAAAACAAUCCUUCAGGUAGAGAUAUCUUGGGGUUAACAUGGCAAGUAAGUGACUUAGCUCAUAAGCCUUUACAACAAACCUGAGUUACAAUAUAAUUUCGAAUGCUGCACUCAGAUCAUGAGGAAGAAGGCACUAACUGGGAGAUUCUUUUGUUUUGGCAGGCAAGAAAAUAUCGACUCAAAUUAGAAUAUGUUAGAUCCAAGUUCCAUCCUCUUUGAUAAUUAAACAAAUGAGAAGGCUGACCAGGUUGACAGGAAAUUCAAUAUUAGAGUUACUCACAGAAGGAUAAUUUGAGUUUUCUGAAUGUCGUAGACUUAAAUUACUAGCUCCAAAACUAACAACUUAUGCAUAUGCUAGUAUUUCAAGGGCUUUGACAGUGGAUUCGUGAUAUCAGGCAUAUAUGGCCUGCUUCAUACCAGACGAUAAAAAAACAGAAGUCAACAUAAUUAUGAAAAGCUUACCAUUCUACGAUCAAUCAUGCAGCAUCCAUCAGCACAAAGAAGUGUUGGAAAUGUGUCGAACCCUUCCGAUAGACAUAAACUUAGAAUAAGCCGCAUACCCUUCUGGCAUUCAGGAAGUUCCGCCAAUGAAGAGUCUCCAGUGGAUUUUGUGUAUGCCCGAAGCAAUAUGAUCCACCAAAAUCCAGAAUCAACAGGAGCAACUCUUCCUAUCGCACUCUCGCCAAAAUCUGCUAUUAAAGUCUCACUGUUCCUGACUGGAUCAUGGAGUACUUUGAAACUAGCUGGCAUUACUCCUUCUCCAAGCUGGAACCUAUCAAUCUUUUUCUCCCAUGACUGAAGACGAAGAGUCUUCAAGAUAAAAUUUUUAACUAUUUCAGGUUCACCAUUCAUCAGAAAAGCCAAUCCACUGGGGACAAAGUCUCUGACAAACACCUUCACAGAUUCAUAAGAAGAAAAAAAAAAGGAUAAAAUUUGUGAUUGCCAACUUCAUGGAACAGAACUCUGUCUAGUAAAACUGAGUUAAAGAAAAGCACAAAUGGAGAAAUGGAUAAGUUGAAUCUAUAUAGUUUGUUCAACAUAUACAAAAAUACGUCCUGCAUAAAGAAUAUUCAAGGCAGCGCAGCACUUUAGACAGCACAUAUCCCACAGAUUGAAACAUAGUAUUGGAACAUUAAAUCAGCAACUUAAUUGUAAAGCUUGGAAACUCGGGUGCCCUGCCCCCGGGCAGACAAUGUGCCAAAAGCCUGUUUGUAUGCAUGUAUCAAAAGUCCUAAGACAUGUAUGCAUAUAAACAUGGUGGUCAUCAGAAACGGAACAUGUGGCUCCCCAAUACGACUAAGGGAUUGAUAAGAAGGAUAACACAAUGCCUUUGAAAUUUGUUUACUAUAUGGAUGUAUCGCAGUACAUCUUGCCUUCGUUGCAAAGCAUCAUAAAUGUUCCUCAUGUGUGUGAGUAUUUGUAGGGUGAUACUAUAACCAAAAGACUGAAAACAAAAACAAAAUGGAGAUGUACAAACAAUGAAGUUUUAGGUUCUCUCUAUUAUUACAGAUGCAAAAUUCCAAGAAUAUGUACAUCUAAUAGGACGAACAAGGACAGAAGGUCUCUACCUGAUCAUAGUUAAGUUUUUCUUCAGAGGUAUCUGUUGCAGCAAUUGUCCCAACUGGCUGACCACGGAAAAACACCAACGAACGCCUCAAAGUUUCCCAAGCUUCAGCAACCAUUGGAUGUGGCUCAAAGCCAGUCAGUGACCUAGGGGUGCCAAUGAGUGACCUUCUACUGGGCGAAAAUACAUAUUCAGGAUGGUCAAAAAAUUUGAAAGAAUUAUCAGCAUUUCUUGAUGAGUGACGUGGGGACAAUGCAACAGAUAGUUCACUGAGUGACCUCUCAUCAAAUGAUCGUUUUCUCUCCAUAUUCAGAAGGCUUGGUCUGUCUAAUAACUUUGAAAAAUCAAUUUCUUCAAUUUCUGCCACACUACAUAAGGAAUCAACAUGCCUUAUAUUUCCAUUCUGAGACAUGUCUGAAUUGGGUAUUGACAUUUCCACAGAUUUCAGCACUUGACACUGACCCAAUGGUUAGUUUAGUGCUCAACACCCUGCAAUUCAACCACCAGAUCUGAACCAUUCAUCAUCUGCAAAAAGGCAGUAAUCAUCUAUUUCCACCUCUCCCGGGUGACCAAUAACAGAUAAGAAGAACCCAUUUACUUUACUACUCUAUCCAAUGAAACCAAAUAGAAAUAUUCCAACCACCCAAAUAAAGAACUGUAAAUGAGGUCAACUUACAGAAUGAUAAUUGACAAUUAAGAAGUGGUUUAAAAAUCAAGUUUGUUGUAUACAGUUUCCCAAUUACAAUUAAUAAUACAUAUCAUUAUAACAAUGCUCCAAAGAAUAUAGUAAACCAAAUAUAUUACUAUGUUUCCAAUCCUUCAAAAUUCAGCAGUUGGGUAUCUCAAUAAUUUACCAAACAAAAUGAAAGGUGGAUUUUCGAUUUCUGAAAGGCAAAUAAAAAGUAAUAUUCAAUGUAUUCAAUUUGAUUCUCAUUCCCACUUCUUUCUUCAGCAACCAAACAGAUGUGAGACUAGCAUGUAAGAAAAUACUCGAAUCUGUUCGCCGCAAGAAGAGCAAUUCCCGGAAAACAAAUCCAAGAACUGACGGAGGAUGCUUCAAGAUCCAAUCAAGUUGAAUUUUUUGAUAAUCCAAACCCAUCAAAACAUGCAUGCAUUAUGGAAUGGACAUUAAUUAAUUGGUUUUCAAGAACAGAGAACUAACCUCAAAGGAGUCACCAAAGGCCAAGCUUGAGAUAUAAAAUCAGUUGAAAGAAAGAAAGAAAGAACCAAGCUCACUACUGAGAGUGUAUUCUUAUAAAAUCUUUGUUGGGUACCAUGAGGCAGUGGUGGGCCAUUCAGUACUCAACCGGGCAAGCCGGUGAAGGCUUCCUGUGAAAUGGUAGAGAUGACUGGCAGAUGGGUUUGGGGUUGGAAUGCCUAAACAUCACUGCUACAUCAUAUAAAUGAGAUGAGACCUCUUCAGCUUAACAUAUGAGGCUCUGUAAUGUACGGAAGAUGUUGACGCUUUGGUGCAACGUGGAUGAUUUUGAUUGACUGUGAUGGACAACUUGGUAUGCGUUACAUGCCGAAAUAGUGUUACCAAUGCGUAUUAAUAUUAUACCAUAAAAGUAUAAAUCAGUUGCAUAUUGAGAUGAUUUUCACGAAAGUUUGAAUUUUUCUCCUUAUUAAUAAAAAUUAUUAUAUUUAAACAUGUCACGAGAUAUUACUGGAAGAAAGCAUGAUAUGGUUUCUUUGGAGAGUGAUGUCUGAGAACAUGAUUGCAUGGCAUGAAAUGUGAAUGUGUUGAUAUUAUGAUGUGGGGGGCUUUGGGACUUGGACCUUAUAAAACAACAAGAACAUGCCAACUGGGUCUUGGCCUGUGCAGCAAUUGAAAAUAAUGCGAUGGCAAAUGCAGAGAAGAUGUCUUUCAGUCUUUGUCUUUGAGCGGUAGAUCCAAAGUGGCUGGUGAAUGCUGAAACGGUGAUCCUUUGUUGAUCCUGUUCCUCCUUUUGGCAGCAAGUCAAAAAGUGGGCACUUUACCAACGACAAAGAGAAAAACACACUUUUCGACCAAAAAAAAGAGAGAAAAGCACACUCACAAAUUCACAUGAGGAACCCUGGACAUCUUGUGAUUGUGUACAAUCAAAACAAAAUUGCAAAAGCUCAGCCAAACUUUUGACAUUUCUAAGAUUAAUCAGAAAAUUGACAUCAUAAAACCUUGUGUGACGUUGACCUAAUUGUUGUACGUGUGUGGAUUGAUCACCACGUGCAAGCUACUUGGCAUGGUUAAGUAGUGCAUGCCUACCUCAUGCACAAAUGCUGUAUGUGUGACUUCAAAUAAAAUGAAAGCAUGGAUACCUAAGGCUAGUGUGUGUCGGUCGAAGAUCUUCCGACUGAUAUAUAUUUGGUAUUGGUUUGGUGGGAUAUUUAUAGUAAGUAUGUUCUUCCUUUUUCUGCGCACAUUUGGUGAGGUCGUAUGAUGUGAGUUUGGACUAGAAAGGUGGUCUCCAAUGCAACUACCCAAAUUCUAUAGGGAGACUUUGGAAAAGCCUAAAGGAGAGAGAAAAUUUUUAAAAGAAGCCAAAAUGGACAAAAUUGCCCUUAUUUAUUUUUUGAUUUCCUAAGGAAUCCUUUACAUUUGCAUGUCUUUUGUUUGAAAGUUGAGAGGUUUUUCUGUCUUUUUUGAAAAAGCUUUGGCUUUUUUCAAAAGUGAAAGUUUUUUUAUGGGUAAAAAGUAUAGGCCUUGCAAAGGAAAAUUUAAAUCCAAAACUACACCUAUAAUUGAGUUUGGUGUAACUCAAAACUCAAAUUGUGGGCCUCAAAGGGAAGAGAAGAAAGAGAGAGUGUGAGUUACUAUAUGAAAAUAGUGUUAAACCCAUAUUUGAGUUUGGGUCCAACCAUAUUUAAUUAGGGAUCUAGACUCAAAACUAAAACUAAAUUAUUUAUAUUUGGGGUAAGAAUUCGGGUCUCACAUUUGGACUCAAAUAUAAGAAAUUGAAUAUAGAAUUUGUAUCUUUCCAUUUAAAGAUGUAUGAGAAAUAUAUAUAUAUAUAUAUAUAUAUAUAUAGUCCCCUUUGAAUGAGAGAUUUUUUAAAUAAUUUUAUUUGAGGGACACCAUUUAAGGUACUCAAUGAUUUUUUUUUUUUUCAACUAUCCAAACCAUCUAAUUUUUAGGUCUUCAUUCAUAGUUCAUCCUUGCAAAAAAUUAGAUAGAUCGAAAGUCGUUUAGACAUCUAAUUGUGUCUUACAAAAUCAAUAGACAUAGUGCUUCAAGAAAGUACUAAAAUUUAAUUGAGUGGUCAACUGAUAUCGGAUUUAAGUGAUAUUUUACAGAGAUGAUCUUUGAAUUAAUAUCUACAAAAUAGAGGAUUUGCAUUAAUGAAAUACAAGUGAUGAUCCAAAUUACAAUGGGAAGCAUGAUUUCACACACACACACACACACACUAAUAAGGUGUCAUAGAGUUUCGAACAUGAAACCACUGACUUGUAGUCAAAGGGGUCUAAAUUACAAUGAAAAUGAGACUCAGAGUUUUUCAUACACACACAUUAAUAAAGUACCCUGGAGGUUCAAAAUAAAGUUUAAUAAAUUAAAAUAAUAAUAAUUAUAAUAUGUAGAGGCGUCGGGUAGUUGAGGUAGGCCGCUGUGCUAUUUUGAUGCAUUAGUCCAUCGUAUUGAUUUAUUGCACUGGGCUUUGCCCAAAACUUUUGGAGGUAAGGCCCAACAGUGCCUUUGAGGUUUCGCCCCAUGAAUGAAACACAAAGUCAAAAUUAUUUGGCCUACGUCAUUUUUGUGAGCCCUAAAAUAAAACGUUAAUUAUACGACGACGUUCCGCCCUUUUGUUAUUUUGCUGGUAUCAAGGGAGCCGAAGUUCAGAAAAAAAUACAUAAACAAACUUCUGGGUCAAGCAACUCCACUCAAAUCAUCCAAUAGAUAAUGUCCAAACCCUUCAGGCACAUCCUUUCAAAAACUACAUCAAAAAUCUAGUUUUGAGCUAAGAGCUGCCAAUUUAUCCGCAAAACAAUUCCCUUCUCUAUAUUUAUGAGAAAGGCAAUUUCCGCCAUUUCUUCAUCCCUCCGUCCUGCACUACAUUGCAUCUACUAAACCCUACAAUUUACAAUAAAAAAUUUAAGAGGAGCGGAUCCGCUUUCCCCAAAUUAUGUGUCCCUCAUGUCCCCCCAAUAGUUUUUAAAUUGCUAAAUAAAAUGUUAACAGUGUUAACCCUUUGUUAAGUUAGUUGAAUGUAGUAAUACAACCGAGUAUAGCCGCGCGGCUAUACUAUUUUUAAGUAUAACCGAUCCGCUAUACUCUUCAUAUAUAUAUAUUGGGAUCCUUUUUAUCUUUUAAAUUUUUUCCCCGAUUUUCUUUUAUCGAUAAGAGUAGUUUAGAGCAUUAUCUAUUACUAUUAGGCCAUUACCCGAGUCUCUGUUGUCCCCUUUUUAUUUUUUUACUUAUUACCCGUAUAAAGAAUUUACCACUUUCAAGUUUAAUACACGUAAUUUUUAUAAAAUUUUCAAUAAUACCCAGAAAAAUCACGUAUUAUACACAUAAUUUUCACAUAUUAUUGAAUAAAAAUAAUAUAUAUUUAAAUAUUUAAAUAUAUUAUAUUAAAAUAUUUAAAUAUAUUAUAUUAAAAUAUUAUAUAGUGACCAAACUUUUCAAUUGUAAUUUUCCAAAAUUGUUAAUGAUUACUAAACAAUUUAGUACGCAACUACUUUUUACUAGUUUGUAGAGUUGAAAUAGCAAAUUAAUAUCCAUAAAGUAUAAACUAAUGCAACUAGGAGGUCCUUUUAUAUAUAUAUAUAUAUAUAUAUUAAAUAGUCUCGCCGCGAGACAAUACUUAUUUUGACACGUGGGAGCCUAAUUGACUAGGUCCUCUCUUUAAAACAUAAAAUAAACUAGUAUAGCAGUACGGCUAUACUCAGUUUUUUAAUUUCUUUUAAAAAUAGUAUAGUCGGGCGGUUUUACUUAUUUGGACACAUGGGCUCCAAAUCGCGAGGCAGGUCCUUUUUUUUAUAAUAUAAAUACUAAUAGCAUAGCCGGCCGGCUAUACUCGCUUUUUUAUAUUUUUUUUAAAUAGUAUAGCCAGGCGACUAUACAUAUUUCACACGGGGGCGCCUAACCGUUGGGGUGCUCUCCUUUUUUUUUUUAAUUAUAAAUCGGGCGGCUAUACUUUGGUUUUACAUUUUUUUUAUAAAUAGUAUAGCCGAUAGGCUAUACUCUGUUUUUCUUAUUUUUUAUAAAAAAUAGUAUAGCCGUCUGGCUAUACGCCGUUUUAUUAAUAUUUCUUCAAAAAUAGUACAGUACCCGCCCGGCUAUACUCGGUUUUCCGCUUUUUUUUAAUAAAUAGUAUAGCCGUGCGGGUAUACCCAGUUUUUAAUUUUUUUUGUUUGCAUAGUAUAGCCGCGCAGCUAUACACUGGUUUUCUCUUUUUUAUAAAUAGUAUCUCGGUUUUUAAAUAUUUUAAAAAUAAUAUACCCGAUCAGCUAUACUUAUUUUUGGACACGUGGACGUCUAAUCACAAGGCAGUCCUUUUUUUAAUAUAAAUAGUAUAGCCGCUGAUUUUAACACGUCGGCAGCAGCGUACGCAAGAGAAGAGAGCGUACCUGCGUCUUCUCCCUUUCUCAACCCUUCCUCAAACUCAAAAACCCUUGCAAAACCCAGCCAUACAACUACAAGAACUCCAAAUCCCAGAAACCAUUUUUCCCAAACAAAAACGAGACAGGGACUGAAGGAGUUCAACAAUGGCCGGCUCCGAAGCUACGCCUAAAGAGAAGCGGACGAAGAAGAACAAAAAGAGAAAGCAAAGGAGCCUUGGAGAAUCUGAAAGGCCUUCCAAAACGCACCGGCUUAGGGUCUCGGAGAAAGAGAGUGAACCACAAGAAGUGGAAGUAAAACGAGCUGAAAAGCCCCAGCUCAGAGAACCCAAUCAGGAGCUCGAACAAGGUGGUCCAUGGAGGAACCUGGAGUUAGUUUUGUCCAUUCAGAACAAAGAACUUGAUCUUCAGAAGUGAGUGCCUUCCUCUUCUUUCUCCCUGUUUUCUACUUUUUCGUUGUUUUCAUUUGCUUAAGUUUGUUUGGCUUCCGAGAAAGUUAUUCAAUCAAUUGAUUAUUCCGAAGGAAGAUUAGAGAGCUCAAUAGGCUUGAAGGCGCAAAAAGUUGAUUACAUUGAGCUUAAUAAAUUUGAUAUUUUUUUCCCAUACAUGUUUCUCAGAACCCAAAAUGGAGCAUUUAGUUUUAAAUUUUUGUAAAUGAAGUGAGUUUAAUUCAAAAUGUUGUGAUCAAAGGCUGGUUCCUGGCUAAAAUAUUUCGAUAUUUACAAGUUGAUAAAAAAAAUAAUGAAAUGGAAAGGUGACAAGGUUAGAGUCUUUGUCUUUCAAAGGAAACCAAGGGACUAUAACCCCAUUUAAGCCAAAUUGGUUGAGUUAGACUCAAUGUAUUAGAUUUGAUUUUGUACUUGAGUUCUUGUGUGUCUGUUUCUGUAAAAACAAAGAUUCAAAAUUUCAUCUUGUCUUCAUUUCCUCAUUAAGUGAUCAAAAGGAGGGUUAAGCUUUAAUUCUGAUGAAUGUAAUUUCUAAUCUAAAAGAAGAUUUAAUUCUGAUGAACGAGGGAAUGCAAAUGCAGGAAGGUGGAACUAGCUUAUGGCUUUGUCAUAUUGAGAGUGAAAGAAGAAGGCAGCAAGAGUGAUCAGGAUAAUCAAGCAGUGAAUAUGUCACGUUUAAUAAUUUUUGUUAAUGAUUGGAUCCAGUCAUUAUUGAUUUCUUCAGGAAAGAAAAUUCAGAGUGGCGGAGAGAUGCAUCAAGCUGAAGUGAUUGAGACAUAUUUGGAUUUUAGAUGCUGGGAGAUUUUCAAAUUCUGUUUGGAGGAGUCUUUGAAAUUGAAUGUUUCUCUAAGUUUCUCCCGGAACCUUUUACGCUCUAUUUGUUUGAUUGCAAGAAAUGCACUGUCCUUACUGAACAAAACAUCUUCACAUCAAACAGAUUUAUUUUCCAUUGGCGAAGGGUUACCAUUGUACAAUACCAUGCUUGAUUGCAUUUCUUUGGUAUUUUCAUCCCAUGGAGGCUUGUCGAAUGAAAAUUUAGACCUGUGGGUUUCAACUGUAGGUGCAGUGCUUGAUCUUGUACACACAUUUUACAUGGAAAAUCUUGUUAGUGGCAAUGAGGGUGACUUUGUUUUCCGGUUUUUGUGCUUGGUUCUUGAGCCAUUUGCCAAGUUUUUUAGGGCCCACCCAGCUCGGAAGAAUGGAUUUCGUGAUUUCAUCGAUAAACUCCUUGAGCCUCUGUUGCAUCUCUUAGGUCUCUUGCAUCUUCAGAUUGAUGUAAGUAAUCCUGGUAGAGCAAGAAACUUACUGAAGCUAGUUGAAGAAGUACUAUCUCAUGGGCUGUAUCACCCAGUCCACAUUGAUGGAUUUUUGAACUUAUGCAGCAGUGAAAGAUAUUCCACCUUCAAUUAUGGGAAGUCAAAAGACUCAAAAACAAUGCUGAAGAGUUAUCACAGACAUUUAUUUGAUAAGCUGGAAAAAAUUUUGGCUGCAAAGAAUGCUUUGGCAGUGGAAAGCAUGGGAGAACUUUUUCACUUGCUUAUUGAUCAAGUUCAAAAGCUAAAAAGGGCUUCAGUGCCGGCCGAAAAUACAAAAAUGAUGGGGAAGACUGAAGCUUCAAAGCAAAUAGAACAUAGUUUAAUGGGUCAUACUUCAAAGAUGUCUUCUGGGAGUAGUACUGCACUAGUUGAAAAUAAUUACUGCUCAACUAGUUUCAGUGCAGAAACACGAAAGUCACUUCUUGAUUUUUUUGUACUGAUUAUGGAGCCUCUUCUGCUUGAGAUUAAUGGCUAUCUUGAAAGUAAGCUGGAAGUGGGACCCAUGUUGUCGGAUGUUCAUUGCACACUUAAAUCUAUUAAUAAUUUACUUUCUGGCUUUAUGCAUGAAAAGGUUUAUGUGAGAACAGAGGACACGUCAGAGGGAGCUUGCCUUAAUUUCUUGAAGAAGGUCUAUAAUAUGAUUAUAUCAUUGUCCUCCAAUUUAAUUCAGUCGUCAAAAUAUGGUGUAGUUAACAGGACACACAUGGAUACGUUAACUUUAAUAGCCAAUGAGGUACUUUCUGCUGUAGGGUAUCUUUUGGAAAUUGAAUAUGAGGUUAUAGAGAAUGAUUUGGUAACCUUGUGGCUUCUGAUGCUUUCUUACUUAGCCAUUGGUCUUUCCCUGAUGGAAGUUCCGGAUCGGUGCUCAUUAUCUUUGAAGAUAACAGAUAUUGGAUGCCAAUUAGUUAUUCUCUAUAGUCAACUUCGCCAGGUUAGCAUAAUGCUCUUUGAUCAAGCAUUUGGCUGCGUUUUCACUUCUGCAUGCAUAUAAAUAUGCAUGAUUAUAUAUGUGUAAGCUGUUUCCAAAAUCAACUCUUUUACUAAUUCCACUCAUGAGUUUUAAGGUGCAGGUAGUGAAUUGCAUCAUUUCUAGAAAUGAUAUUCUGCUUUGUUCUUUACUUGUGGUUUUAAUCCCAUCGUUUUUACUUUUGCACAAAUGCAGGUGAAUAAUACUAUUUUUGCAUUGUGUAAAGCAAUAAGGCUUCUAAAUUCACGUAAUGGUGCUGGUGAACUGAAAUAUACUAGAUUUGUGAUUUCUUUACAUGGUGAAGCUUAUGCAAGAUCAGUGGAAAUGCUAUUAUGUACGCAAGAGUUUAAGAUUGCAAUACAACAAGCUAUUAAGUCCAUACCAGAAGGACAAGCAAGUGGGUGUAUUGGGCAGUUAACAUUGGAUAUAUCAGAAUCUCUAGAGUGGCUGAAAAUUAGUUGUUUGAAAGCUGAUGAAAAAGAAUUUGGCAAACGGGAUGGACGAAGUAGCUUGCAGAACUUUAAUCUAGAAGCUGAACUUUUGGGGAGAGGGUUGUCUGAAGGGUAUGCACUAGUGCUAGACUCGUUGUUUGUUACACCUGGAAACUGUAACCUCCUUGGAGUUUCUGUAAAGGAUCUUAUAGCAGUAAUUUGUGCUUGCAUGAGUAGUCUGGUAGGACUACAGCCAGAUGCUGUAAAUGAGUUCCUCUUUACUGUCACAGGAAAAGGAUUUGACAAUGAGACAGACGAAAACAAAAAUAAUCUUCAGAUAUUUGGAUUGUCCACUCAUUGGGUGUUUGUGUUCUUCUUUCGAUUGUAUAUGUCCUGCCGAAGCUUAUAUAGGUCAGCAACGAGCCUUAUGCCUCCAGAUUUAUCAAGAAAGAUGUCAGCAGCAAUGGGAGAUUCAUUCACAUCAUACUCUGGUAGCGAUUGGAUUGAUAUGACUGACUGGAUCAAUGGGGAAUAUUUUUCUUGGAUCGUUCAACCUUCAGCUUCUCUUCCUGUUGUUAUUCAAUCCAUUUCAAACAUCUAUUGUAAGGACAGUGCAGCCGAUUCUUCUCCUUUGACUUAUGUGAUGCAUGCUAUGGCUGUUAGACGGCUUGUCGAUUUGAAUAGGCAUAUAAAGUCUUUUGAAUAUUUGAUGCAAAAUAAUGAAAAUCUGGUGCAAGUCAGGUUGCUUGAGGAUGCUGGCUUGUCAAGGUGUCGUAAAAGAAGCAAAAAGUUGGAAAGGCACAUCUCUGUUUUGAGGGAAGAGGCUUCAGGUCUUGCUGGUUUUAUGAUGGAGCACCUAUCAUUAGUGCCCGAAGAUCAACAGCCAAUGUCCAUUUCUGGUGAUACAACUUGUAAUAAGAUGAUUUCCCAUGAAAGUGAUGAAUGGGAUUUCAGUGUUUGUGCUUUGAACAAGAAGUCAUUGCCAACUGCAAUAUGGUGGAUUCUUUGCCAGAAUAUUGAUACUUGGUGCACUCAUGCCACUAAAAAGAAUUUGAAGAAAUUCCUUUCUCUUUUAAUCCAUACUUCCCUUUCCCGUGUAAGAAGCAGCUUUGGGGUGGUUAGAGAGUACAAUAACCAUGCAGCUGACAGGCUGAAGAAAGUAACCUUGCAUCAAAUCUCAUCACAAUGCUUCAUUGACUCCAUUCUGUAUGAGCAAAGAGUAAGAUGCUAUCAAACAUAACAUGGUGCUUCCCCCCAUCCUCACAUGCACACGUAACACACAUAGACACAACUCAUACCCCUGCUCACUAUUUGACUUUGUCUGAGUGGUUGUGUUAGUUCUUGUUCGUUACAAUUUUUCUUCUCUUAUUGAUGUCAAUAAACUGUUCUUAGAGCCUUUAUAGAGACUGUUUCAACCCAGGUAUUUAUUCUAUCUCUUCUAUUAGUUUUUCUGCAGGUAUUUUGCAUCAACGUUUUGCCGUGCAUUGGAGAAAUCUACAUUACCAUUGAUCAGUGACUUUUCAUCUGGCAAUUUUGAUUUCAAAUCAUCACCUGAUUGGCCGAAGGUUUUAAAUUCCCUGGAGAACUCAUCAGUGGUUGUUUCAUGUAAGAAUCACUACAUAUUUGAUUGUUCCUCAGCAGCAAGCCCGGUCACUCAUUCUUCUGAUGAGCUGCGUAAAGGAAGUUUCAAGGAACAAAAAGAUCUCCAAUCGACCAUCAUGAAAUUUAUAGCUUGCCAGAGUUUACUUAAUCUUUUGUGUUGUAUGCCAAAAAGUCAUUUCAACUCAAGAGCAUUUUCACUUUAUGUCACUUCUAUUCUCAACCUUGAAAGGUACGAGCUUUGUUCUUUCAACAUUUGAUUUUAUGGUGUGAUGUAGUAGCAUAGUUCUUGUUGCUUUCUAUUUUUUCAAUAAAAUAAAAAAACAACAUACAAAUUCUUCUGGUGAGCAAUUAGGUUCUCAAAUUUGAAUAUUCAAUAAGAUGAGAUUAAUUGAGUUGAGCUCUAAGGUGAAAAGCUAUCUCAGAUAGUAUAUUAUGGUUGUUGUCCUGUUUUUUCUUGCACAUAAAAUUUAGAGUGAAGUGUCUGAAGUCUUGUUCGUUGUAGAAUUGUUUAAGAAAGUGUUGUGCGCAGAACUAUUUAUCAUUGACAAACUAGUUUUGCUUCAGAACUUUCUUUCUGUCUGACAAUAAUGGUAACUCAUUACUUCUGUUUGCACCUGAGGUUCCCAGCAGCCUCAAGAAUUCAUAUCUCAUUAUGAAAAAAUUAUUGUGUGCAUAAUAAUUGAAGUUCUCUGAUUAUGCGUAAUCUUUGAAGCCUUUUAAUCAAGUUUAUUAAUAUUAUCCGUUCUGCGUUUUUCAGGCUUGUUGUUGGCGGCUUAUUAGAUUAUCAGAAUGCAUUAUACUCGCAUCACUAUCACGAGCUCUUCAGAUUGUUUGUGUCUUGUCGGAAGGCCUUGAAAUAUAUAAUUCUGGCUUGUGAGGGGAAGACAGCAGAUAGUCAAACCUCACAUACUUUAGUGUUCUUUGAGGAUUCGUUUCCUAUUUUAUGGCUUUACAAGUCAGUGUAUGCGGUUGUUGGGCUUGAAGAGUCAUUGCCAAAAGAUAAUUGCCGUCCAGUCAGUGAUAUGAUCUUGUCCUUGAUGGAUCACACAUUUUAUGUGUUUCUCACAUUAAGUAAAUAUCAGUCUAAUCAUGCUGUUCAUUUCUCUAAAGUUGCUGAACUGAAUGCCGGACUUGUCCAUGAACAUAGUAGUUUAAGUGAAUCUGAUAUGUGCUUGGAUUCUUCCGACUAUAUUGAAGCUUGGAAAAGUGUAACCAUUAUUGCUAAGAGUUUGAAGGAACAGAUGCAAAGCUUACUGGUAAAUUUGAAGGAUGCCCUUUGUAAUGGAAAAGUGGGGAUUGGUGUUGAUGGUUUAAAUUUGAACAAGUUCUCAUCCUUAAUUUCUUGCAUUAGUGGGUUUUUAUGGGGCCUAGCAUGUUUUGUGAACCAUACAGAUUCGAGAAGUAGUGAUCAUAAAGUAAACUCAUCAAGGCAGAAACUUGAACCCAUCUCUGAACUUCACCUCUGUAUAGAUGUUUUUGCAGAAUUCUGUAGUCUGCUCUUACCAAUGUUAGUUUGUGACAGUAGUCAACAGUCCAGAACUCUAUGUGACUCUCAAAAUCUUCAAAAGUCAGACUUCAAUGCAGAUUUGUUGGGUGUGCCUGAAGGCACUGAUGUUGAGACUGAUAUUGCAGGUGUUGAACUGCAUGAUGAAUCUGGUGCUGCAAUGACAGCAUCAUCUGACAUCCAUGCUUACUCUGGGUCUGGUAGUGUUCGUAGAAGAAGGUUGCACUUGGAAGGUGCAAAUUGUGCUGCCAGUGCACUGAAUGACAUUGAUUCAUUUAUAUUGCAGUCUUUGAAUAGGCCUUUGUUGAGACGCCUGCUAAAUGGUGAUUACCCUGGUGCAGCAUUUUUGCUCAGGCAGUUGUUAAUUGCAUCUUCAGCUAUUUUAAGGCUAAGUUUGCAUAUGAAUAGUCCUCCCCUGUCUUCAAGCUUGGUGCAUACUUUUACUAGCAUUACACAAGUCUUGUUAUUGGAAUCAACGGACAUGAAUCAUGUGCCAUGCUUUUUUUAUUUUGUGUGUUUAGAUGGUGUUCUGAAGUAUUUGGAAGAAAUAGCGAAUCAUUUUCCUCUGACAAAUCCUACCUUAUCCAGAAGUUUGUAUGACAAGAUGGUUCAGCUACAGUUAAGGGCUUUAGGAAAAUGCAUAACUUUACAGGGGAAACGAGCCACCCUAGUAUCUCAUGAGACAGAGUCAAGCACCAAAAUGCUCCAUUCUCCUAUGGAAUUUUCUGAAGCAUCUCUGUCUGGCCGGCCAUACUUAUUGGAUGAACUUAAAGCUAGGUUGAGGUCAUCGUUCACGGUGUUUAUAAAGAAACCAUCAGAGUUGCAUCUUUUAUCUGCUGUACAAGCUAUAGAGAGAGCACUAGUUGGUGUGCGGGAUGGGUGCACCAUGAGUUAUGACAUACAUACUGGAAGCGUAGAUGGGGGAAAAGUUUCUUCAGUUGUUGCAGCUGGCAUUGAUUGCUUGGAUUUGAUUCUAGAACAUGUUUCAGGUAAUAUUGUGAUAAUUUUGGAUGAAAUGGUUCUACUGCAUUCUCGAUAGUGUCUAUAGUGAUUGAAAACUUCACCAGCUUUUAGAAACUUUUGUGCAAUAGGAAGAUACUUCUCUCAAAAGGUUCAGCUACUGCAUGCAUACUGUAUGUUUUUAGGAAUUUUUUCACAUAAUUGAUCGAUGUUAUCUUACUCGUCUUAUAACGUAUUAUUAUCCACUUCAGCUAUUACAUGGAUUCAAGUGCAUAUGAUUGAAGUUUGUUAGAACUUGCUUUUCUGACCAUUUAUUUGCCUUUCAGGACGCAAACGUUUGAAUGUGGUUAAAAGACACAUUCAGAGCUUUAUUUCUAGCUUGUUCAAUGUUAUUCUGAACUUGCAGAGUCCAGUAAUCUUUUAUGAGAGAUCGAUCCAGAAUAAAGGGGAUACUGAUCCAGAUCCAGGAACAAUCAUUCUUAUGUGUGUUGACGUACUGGCAAGAAUUUCCGGCAAGCAUGCUCUGUACCAAAUGGAGGCCUGGCAUGUAGCACAAUCUUUACGUAUACCGUCAGCACUUUUUCAAGACUUCCAUCUUUUAAAACUUUCUGAAGCUCCUGUUCCCGAUGAUUCUUCAACAGUUCCAAAUAACCAAAUCUCUAAUUCAGUAGCAAGUAAACAUUUCUCUGGCGUAGAUAGGCAAUACUCAAUCGACCUAUUUGCUGCUUGCUGCCGGUUAUUGCAUAAUGUUCUGAAGCAUCACAAAACGUGAGUGUAUUCUUUUUGUAUGAAAAUCCUCAUAAUAAGUAUAUGUAAGGUGUUUCAACCAAAAAAAAGAAGAAAAGAUUUUUAGUGUGCACUUAACCUUGGGCCAAAGUUGAAAACAUAACAGUAAAAAGGUAUAGAUAUGGUAUGAAGAGGAGGUUUAAUAUUUUUAUGUUCAGUUUUUGCGAAAUUGAUUGAAGAGGCUUCAGAUGCUUAUAUUCCUCUGAGUUAUUUUUCGCUUUUCAGCUUUCCUUCCUCAUUAAGUAGACUCCACAUAUGAUUGCAACUUCUUUUUUUCGUAAUUCUAGUGAAUGUGAACGGUGCAUUGCCGUACUUCAAGCUUCUGUUGGUGUUCUUCUUCAUUGUUUGGAGACAGUGGAUGCUAAUGCAGUCGUCAGGAAAGGUUUCUUUUCAUGGGAAGUGGAAGAGGGAGUCAAAUGUGCAGGUUGUCUCCGAAGAAUUUAUGAAGAGGUAGGUGACUUUUCGUAAAUAUGCCUCAUUAAAAUAUCAUUAUUAUCUUAGAUUUUGGGUAUCUUCCAUUAUAUCCAAAGUCUUAUAUUUUAAUUUUCUGUAGGCCUUUUAUUUUUACUGGUAGGACCAAAGGCCCCCAACUAUUUCUCCUCCUUAGAGCAUCCACAAUGAUGCUCUCUAUUUCUUAGCUAAAAUUUAGCUAAAAAUAUAAGAAAGCUAUUUUAAGAGCUCUCUAAAAAAUUUCAACUCCAACAAUACUCCCUAAUUUGGAGAGUCAUAAAUGCUAUAACUCUUUUUUGAUUGGUCCAUCUCUAUUAAAAAAAUAAAAUAAAAAAUAAUUAGCAUUAACUAAAGGUUUGAAAUACUCAUUAAAUAAAGCAGCAUUAAAUUAUAGGGAGCCACUAGGAGUCCUUUCUCUCUCCUCAGAUUUAGGAGCUCCUAGAGGACUCCCUAUUUUAGGAGGUGGAUAGGGAGCAUGGUUGGAGUUGCAUUUUUAUGAUUCCUCCCUAAAAAUUGUCUAAGGAGGUGGUUUAGAGAGCCCAUUGUGGAUGCUCUUAAACAAUCAAGUUUCAGCAUGAUAUGUAUAAUAUAUAAAUGUAUAUAUUUAUAUGUAUUCCUUUGACAAUGAUAGAGCUCACCUGAACCCAGUUACCAUAGAGAACAUAUCGUUAAUAUUUAUAUAUAUACUUCAUGUUUAUUUUUUUCUCUUGGCCAAGGAACUGAUUUUAAAUAUCUUCUUGGGAAUGGGAGUUAUUUAAGGCUUCUUUUCAAAUUUAAUGAAGGGUUGGUGCUUAGUGCAUGGGCACCUUUUGGCUCACCAGAUCAGCUUUCAUGUUAAAGAAAAUCAUUGCAUUUAGAAAACGUAUUUGUAGGAUAAUUGAUACAUCAUCUGCUUACAAUUUUUGGCUUGUCCAUUGCUGAAAACCAAAAGGAGAAAAAAAGAGAUCUUUCUCACCUGGUUUUAUCAUAUCUAUUUUGCAGAUAAGACAUCAAAAAGAUGUCUUUGGUCCGCACUGUUCCCAAUUUUUAUCCAAUUACAUAUGGGUUUAUUCAGGACAUGGGCCCCGUAAAACAGGCAUCAAAAGGUAAUUUCUGGUACCUUGGACUAUUUGUUGUUAUGAUGUUCAUGAGUUUCCUAGUGAACUCAAAUAGGCAACAGAUUAAUGAACAAUGGUGCAUCAAUUGUAUUUGUUAGAAAUAAUACAAUCCAAAUUACUUUGGUACAUCAAUUCCCGCUGGCCUUUAGUUAAGAUGGAAAAGGGGCGAGGUUGGUGUAGAUCCUAUGUUCAUAAGUCACUUUCUCCUUCUCAUUUUCUCCCCUUAAAAAGUUUUCUGGAAACCUUGAAUUUGUAAUUAUGCCAUCACCUUCCAAUUUUUAUACAAUAAGAGGGUAAUAUUACAUAUAAAAAAGUACCUAUUACAAUCUCCAAAAGUGUUACCUUUUGGCAUGGACAAUCUUGGGGUGACAGAAAUGCAUUGGUUAGCUGAAUUAUUGUAUGUUUAAUUUUCAGGGAAAUAGACGAAGCUCUAAGACCAGGUGUAUAUGCUUUAAUAGAUACUUGCUCAGCAGAUGAUCUUCAACGCCUUCAUACCUUAUUUGGAGGUAAAUAAUAUUGACUUUGUCAGGGCUACAAGGUGUGGCUGGAAGGAAUUUCGACUCAGUCUCACAUUUUCUUCUUGUUUGUGCAGAGGGUCCUUGCAGAAACACUCUAGCCACAUUGAAACAUGAUUACGAACUAAAUUUCCAAUACCAGGGAAAAGUCUAAGGGAAGCUUAUUCCUAUGUGGGCUGUACCGGCAUCGUCAUUUUGAUGCGACUUAUACAACUCUUCUAACAUGUAAGUUGUAACAAAUAUUACAUGUAAUGUAUGUGAUAAUAAAUUUUGUAGUCAUAUCUUUCCCAUUUUCGAAGCUACAAAUGGUAGCAUCCUCAUGGAAUGGAAGUAACAAAGCUGUCUGUUGGUAAUAGGGACUCGGGUCUAACAGAACAGAUGUGAUGUGAAGCGGGUAAUUUUUGUGUAGCUCUAUUUUGAGUGACUUGAGCCUAACGUACGUACCUUCCUUGGUUUUGCAUUGUUCCGUGUUAAUUUAUGCAUUCAAAUGUAAAUGGAUUUACAUUACUUAUAAAGUGCAAGUUCUAAUGUUUCUUAUCAAACAGGUUAAUUCUUUUUUUUUUUCUUCUUUUUAAUGUGCAUUAUAUCUAAUUGUGGGCUAUUAAAUAAGGUCUCCAAAGAUGACCAUGAUAGAUUUUCAAGUAAAAUGCCCUAUCCACCCACCACCUUAUUCGGCUGGUCCCAUGUAAUUUGGACCAUUUUGUGGUGUUAUAUUCUAAACGGAAUAAUUAGGCUGGUAUGACAAAGAUUGAUAGAACUACCAAAAGCCGAGUCCAAAAGCAAACACCAAUACUUGUGCGGUUGAGAUUAGACUAGGAUAUAUAGAAGUCUUCGUUCAUACGUCAACUGGAUUUUCAGUUUCCAUCUACAUUUUUUCCCUGUAAAACAACUACUCCCAUUGACAAAGCCCCUUGAAUCGUGAUGGGCUGUCACUGUUGUAGAAGAGAAGCCCCCUCAUCCUACCCAGUUCUGCUUUUCUUGGCGGUGGUCGCUCUACUUCUUCUUCUGUCAUCUUUGAUCUCUUUCGAGAUCGAAGCCCCCAGUUUGAAGAUAAAUUGGGGGCUUAUUGCAGUGCCGUUGCUUUUGUUAGCGGUUGUGCAUUGGUUGUCAUCAAUGGAACCUCCCAAGAGGCCCUGUAUGAUGCCUCGGCCGUGUUGCAAGUGUCCGUAUGCUUGCAAGUGUGCCUACUUCUGAACUGAUUGUGCUGGUGUUAUUCACCAUGGUUGGUGCUGUUAUAUUGUCAGACUGAAAAUCUGGUUUGUCUAACACCUCUUUAAGAUACGAGGAUCAGUGUGUUUCUUGGUUUAUUUAUUGUAUGUAAUGAGUUGAAGUUGUUCUUACAACAUCAAAUAUGGGCAAUCCAAGAAAUAAUAUGAUUGUUGUAACAUGAUCGACAAUAUCAUUGUAAAUAUUGUGUGUUUUUGUCUCUUGUAUUCUUCUCUAUCCUUAGUAGCACAACCCAAUCAACAUACCAAUUUUUCUGUCUUUAUGAGAGCCCAGGAGAGUUCAGAACCUCAUAAAAACUACCCUAUGAUUUUCUAAUGAACCCACAUUUUUUUUAGUUAGGGAUUUAGGUGGGAUGACUCUGAUUAAAUAUCAAAUUGAUAAGAAGGAAAGAGAGAUUGCUCAAAGUUGCAGAGCUUCAAUGCAGAAAAGUAUUUAUCGGCUGCAAACUUUCCAUUCGAUUUCUAAAAAGGAUUACUAAUCCUUAACUUUUUGAGGAAUUCUUCAUCUCCACUGAAGAUUUGUUUUUUUGUUUUUUUUCCCUUAUAACAAGCGAUAUACAAGAGAGGGAAAAUUUAAAUACAAGACCUCGAGUACAGAGAUAACUGCUCUUAAACUACAAGCUCUCACUUCUGAAGUUUAAUAAAACAUUGUAAAACUUUUAUAUUGGAGACAAAUAGUUUAAUCGAAAUUGUUUCCUAUUAGGAAUUUUUUAUCUUCCAUUACCGACAAAUCACACAGGCUCAGUUAAUGUCGACACCACACCACGUUGUUUUUCAAUAUUAAAAUUUCACGUCGGGUGGAGGGUUGGGAUUGUAAUUAUUAUUUUGGCUGAGUGGAUGAUGCUUUAAAGUUGCACUACUGACAGUUGUUAAGGCUAUAAGUGUACGGACCGCCCACCUCUGAUGUGGAUGCAUGCCCCAAUAGAAAAGUGACCAUUCGCGCUUUGGUCGACAUACAAAACCAAAGGGAUGUCGAUGCAAAUAUCUUUAACAUAAAACGAAUGUUUUUCUACUUAGCCCUAAUUACACUAGUGCAUCUGAAAAUUCUGGUCAAAUAUCACAUGAUAUAUCACCCUUGCAAAUGGCAUAGAUUGAGUGGAUUAGGCAGAUUGCAUUGAAUCUUCAACAUCCCUACGUGGUAUACAUUUCAAUAAACUUGUUUAAAUCGUUCGUGCCACAUCAACGAUUUUAACAAAACAACAAACUUAAUGAGAGACAAAACGUAAAAAGUCAAUUAAGGGGGCAAUGUGAUCAUUGUAACUUCAUGGGGUAUUGUCAGAUUUGAUUCAAGUGACACUAAAUAAUAGUUAUAUAAAUUAUUUAAAAAGGAUUUUUACCAAAGCUAUUCUUAUUGAUUCACUAUUGUUUUAAAAUAUGCAGAGUCUUAUAUCUUUUCUUACAUUUGAUUGUCAAAGAAAAUUUGAAGUGAGUGAAACUACAAAUCCUCCUUUAUAUAACAAUUAAAAACUAGACCAACCUUAGUGUUGAACAUGUGGUUUCGAUUCUAUUUUAAAUCUUAAAUAAAAUCUUUAGUAUUAAAAAUACCACGUAGUUUCCAUAGAUGAAUCCAUUAAACAAAGUUAUUUAAAGGGACAGUUCACUCUACACUAUAGUUCAAUGAUUCGAACACUAUAAUUUUGUUCAAUAAAAAUCUAUUAGGAAAUAAUAAUUCAAAUGGUAAAAGCUUAAAAGUAAGUACAUAAAUAAAUGGAUCAGUCGUUGGGUUUUUAUCUUAGAAUAGUCUAAACUACAAGGGUAAGGGGGUUUCUCACACAUACACUACCAAGAUAUCAUGGAAGUUCGAACCUGAGACCACUUAUCAGCAAAUUAAACUCUUUUUCAUUGGACUAGAUGCACAAAUAUCCUUGUUUUUGGAUAAUUACAAGUACAAUUCUUUUUGGCCGGUGUAGAUAUCUUAUCAAAGUACCUGAUCAAACACAUAUGCAUAAGUUAAGAGCUCUUCUUCUUAUCUUAUGUGCCUUGAUUUUUUCUUGUACUUGGCCGCAUGCAUCACCCUUCAGUGCAUAGAUGAAACUCCACAAAGCAGACACUUACCUGUUUCUUGGCUAUAAAACACAAGCCCUUCAAUUCCGAACCACCUCUUGAACUUGUCCAUUUGAACACUAGAACUUCUCUUCAUAAUCAAGAAAAACCAUCCAACCAAUAUCCAUGGCCUAUGGACGAAGCCCAACCAGCUCUUUCAUAGAAGGGUUCUCUCUAAGUCCUCUGCCAUAUCCAGUUCUGCUAAUUCUUGCAGUAAUCUCAAUCUUUUUUGGCAUAUCCUGGUACUCAUCCCAUGACUCAGUUGUGGAAGAAGCUGAAACGCAAUUCAGUUGGCUGCUUUUGUUUACAGCAAUAGCACUUCUGCUUCUUGUUAAGUUGCUGUCUUUUCUGGAUCCUGAUUGGUUCUUCUCCUUGUUUCCAUGGGGAAGCCGCAGGAUAGCCUACCAUGAACCUUCAGAGGGAAGCUCACCAUGGGGUGUUGCUGCUUUCAUUGUGCUCCUGCUAGUUUUGCUGCAAUACCAGUCUAUUUUCCGGGACAGCUGGCUCAUUAAAAAAUAAAAAAUAAAAAAUAAAAAAAGGUUGUGUGUAUAUGUAGUAGUUGUUGUAUAUAAUGGAAUAUGAUCUUCUACUUUAUAAUUUCUGUACUGAUAUUGUGAAAUAGAUUAUACUCGUGUUUUAUUUUCAUAUCAAGAGCCAUAUGUUGAGUUGAAAUUGAAUCUUCAAUGAUUUUCCAUGUGGGUUUUGAAUCCUCUAUUUGAUGUUUCUUUUUUCCUAGUGGUUUCAUUAGGCUAAUUUGAUUGCUUGGAAGUAAUAAUUCUAUUAUGGAGUUACAAUAGUAUUUCAGUUACAAUAGUUAAUCCUACUAAUGAUAGGAAAUGGUCAGUUGUCAGUUACGUUGUUAUUGGGCCAUAACUCCAUAUUUAUGUUUGUGAUAAUGACUUGUUGUAAUUGUAGAUUAUUCUCUACAGACUUUAUAUAUAUUGUAUAAUAAUCAUAUGAAUAAUAUUUAUGGAAAAUCAGUUUCUUCAUGGUAUCAGAGCUAAUGGCUAACGCUGACUAGCGAUCCUCCAGUUGCCAACAUUGAGAGUCGUUGGCGCUCCUCACUCUUCACCCAUAAGGGUGUUUGUAUGUAUAGUGUUUUUUCCUUUCUUCUUCUCAAAGAUGAAUAUGUUUUUUCUUUCCACCUUAGCUGUAGCCGCACCUUUAUUUUACCACUACAACCCUUUCUUCUGUUAGCUCGUUAUUUUUGUGUCUUCGCUGCGCCGUCUUCAUUGUGGACCGUCUCCUCCAUUGAGCUCUCUCGUGGCAACCCAUGGCAGCUCCAUUUAUGUCCCUUGGCCAUGAUGGCGAGAUUUCUGUUUCCUCUGCUAGCCUUGUCACCGCUCACCGAGUCUUCUCCUCGCCGGCUUUUAUCUCUCUCAUGUCAUGCUAUCCUGCCGUUGUUGUUCUCUUACACAGCCACUGCCUGUCCCUCUUUUGGCUCGCUAGCCCCUUGUUAUCCAUCAAUGUUGGGCCACUGCUCUCUGUUGAAACCGAGCAAAAAAAAAAAAACUUUUCCUUUCCCUCAAAGAUCACACCUCUCUAUCGUUGGUUUCUCCACUUGAAAUCUCUCUCCACUUCUUCGUCUCUCUCGCCGAGCUAUCUCUCUUCCCUCCACGAGCCUUAUCCUAGUCUGCAAUCGUGGGUUCUCUCUCUCAUGUAUUUCUGAUGGUUUCUCUAUCGUGGUUUCCAUACUUUCCCUUUGUUUGUUGAUGCUGCCUGUCAUCGCUCAUCGAGUAGUCUCUUUUUCUCCGCGAGCCUCGUCAACGCUUGCCGAGCCUUAAUGUCCAAAGCUACAAGUUACACAAACUUGAGAUUCAAGCUAAGUGGUCAUUGUAACUUCUAGAUAUAUAAAUUCUUUAAAAAUGUUUUUAUUACCAAAGCUAUUCUUAUUGAUUCACUAUUGUUUUAACAUUUGUAAAGUCUUAAAGAUUUAUUUGUUUCUUUUCUUACUUUUGAUUGCCAAAGAAAAUUCGUAGUCUCCGAUCAAAAGUAAUAUAUACCAAGGUAUAUCGAGAGGUCUAAGAAGAAAAAGAUAACUCUUUGUAAACCCUAGCAUCUCCCUUCUCUCUCAACCCUUUUUGCGAUGUGUGUUCUUGGAGGGAGGAAGAAGGCCACUCCUCCUCUCUCCCUCUCUCCCCCCUUAGAGCAUCACUAGUGGUUGGGUGUAUAAUGGGGUAUAUAGCACAUUUACACCUCAUUUGACCAUAAUCAACUGCAAUGCAAGGAUGUAUCCCGCUGCAAAUAUAGCAAGCCACUGUGAGAUGAGAAAAUAGAUGGAAGUGUCCAUCUUUUUUUUUAUAUAUAGAAAUUUAGUUAUAUACCCAAUCUUAGACAUAGUCUUAUAAAGAAACCCUAUAUCAUUUAAAAACUAUAGCUAUCAAAUUUUUUAAUUUAAUAGUUACUUUUUAGUUUAUUUUUGUGUGUUAAAUACCUAUAUUGUCCUUGUACUAUGGAUUUGAGAGAGGAAUAUCAAAUCUGCCAAAAAACUAAAUUUUCCAUAAAACCAAAUAUGCCCAGAUCUGCCAAAAAAACCAAAUUUGCCAAAAAAACCAAAUUAGAUUUAUUUUCUCCUUUCUUGCUGGUGUUGGAGCAAAAUGAGCUUCCAUUGAAGCUCAGUCUCAGGUCCAACUAUAUUCUUCAUCUUUAAUAUACAAUUUUCAAUAUUUCCCCUUCGAUUUUUUGUUCUAAAAUUGUGCUUCUAUAGAUUUUUUUUUUCCGGAUUGUUCAAGACCUCAAACAAACCUUGAUCAGAUGCUCUUAGCUCUACUCCUCAUCUUCGAGCUCUACUCCUCUUUCGCCACAUCAUCGUUGUCGUUGUCGUUGUCGUCGUCGUCGUCGUCGUCGUUUGGUUUGGACUUGAGAUUUUUGAUCUUUUGCUUCAAUUAUGUGUUUCUCUUCGGGUUUUAGUUGAUUUUCGAAAUGUAUUUUAAGCUUUGAUGAUCGAUUUAUCUUUUGUUACUAUUUCAGUUAUGAAUCUCAUUUUUGUUUAACAAUGUAAUUCUAUGACAGAGUAUUAACAAUAUACUUCUAUGACAUAAUAUUAUUAACAAUCUGGGCUCGGCUUGUUUUGAGUUGGUCUGGUUUGUUCUUUCUUCAUCUUUUCUUUGGUGGACAUGUAUUAAAAAUAGCAACAAUCAACAUGACAGUAAACUAGCAGUGUUAUUACCCUAAACUGGAACAUUACAGGGGUAAACAUGCAUUAUAAAUAGGAUGUCAUAGGAAAUAGCAGUGUUAUUACCUUAGACUAGAACAUUACAAUGGUAGAUAUGCAUUAGAAAUAGAAUGUCAUAGGAAACUAGCAGUGUUAUUACCCUAUACUGGAACAUUACAAGAGUACACAUGCAUUAGAAAUAGGAUGUCAUCUGAAACUAGUAUUGUUAUUACCCUAAACUGGAACAUUACAACCAUUAAUCAACAUGACAGUAAACUAGCAAUGUCAUUACCCUAGAUUGGAACAUUACAGCAAUUAAUUAACAUGACAGUAAACUAGCAAUGUUAUUACCCUAGACUGGAUCAUUACAGGGGUAGACAUACAUUAGAAAUAAGAUAUCAUAGGAAACUAGCAGUGUUAUUACCCUAGACUAGAACAUUACAGGGUAAACAUGCAUUAGAAAUAGGAUGUCAUAGGAAAUUAGCAGUGUUAUUACCCUAGACUGAAACAUUACAACCAUUAAUCAACAUGAUAGAAUAGUGAACAUUACAACAAUUAAUCAACAUGACAAUAAAGGUGUGGAACAUUACAGUCAUUAAUUAACAUGACACGUUAAUGAAGCUACGAUUUUCAAGACGUUUUGUUUGUAAUAAAUUAUUUGGGUGUUUUUUUUAUAAAAUUGGGCUGGGCUUGUUUUGGGUGCUAUUUAAGUUUUUUGUGUUGGGUUUCUUUUUAAGUUGAUCAAUGACAGUCAUGUAAUUUAUAAGAACUUAAACACUAAUUUCUUAUGUAGUAAAUGAGUUUUGGGUGUGUUUCUAAAGUGCAUUUCAUGUGAGUUUUUUUAUUUAUAAUUUCAGCCCCUAUUUUGGGUAUAUUAGUGAAGCUCCUUUUUUUUUUUUUUUUUUUUAUAUAUAUCCAGCUAAAUGGGCCCCGUUGUUGAAAAAGCAUGAGAGAGAAUAAGCUUUCAGCGUGGAAAAAUGGGAGAAGCAGAAGAAAAUGUGAUGUGACAUCAAUGCACUAAUGGGGGUUGUAUGAUCCAACGGUGCUGGUGCUUCCAUAUUUGAUUCUAACGGUGCUGAUGCUUCCAUCUUCUGAUUUGCAUCUCCACCCAAUGGAGUAAAAAACACAUUCACACGUCCCGAAUGUGUAAAGGGGAUGUAAAGGUAACUUUAUACCUUCGAAAAUUCACCAUUUCACAGGUGAUGCUCUUAUCUCUCUAUUUAUUUUUCCCAUUCCCCAUAUAUUGGAUUUGAGGUUUUAAUUGUGGGGAGAUUAUUUGUGCCUAGAUCUAUUUUGGAUCUUGGUUUUUUACCCAGAUCUACUUGGAUCUGUAGUUUUGUUGGUUGGUUUUUCGUUGUACGGUGAGUGACUGCUAUCUAGGUGGUGUUCUCUGUCUCAAAGGCGGUAAUGAUGGUUAUGGUGGCGAAGGCAACAACGGUGGUGGUGGCUCAAUUAGUUUUUGGUUAUUGUUUUCUUAUAUUUUGUAAUAAUUGCAUAAACUCUUUGUGAGUUGGGUGUUUGAUUGUUUUCUAGUAUCUACUUGUGUUUUGUACUUGUGAGAAUUUAAAAGUUGUAGUUGUAUUAAAAGAUUUGGGCAAUGUAAUUCAUGUCUGAUUUGUUCAGGCAUGCGAUUUUUAUGUCGAAAUUUCUUUGCCCUUUUGUGGUUACUAUGCUUCCAUAUUUGUAUUAUCCCCUUGCGCAUAUUUGCCCUUAUAAUUGAUGAUAUUUAUCCCUAAUUUAUAAAUACAAUUAUCACUUUUCUCUAUUUAAAAAAAAAAAACUAUAACCUAGUGUUGGAACAUGUGGUUUCGAUUCAGCUUUAAAACUUAAAUAAAAUCUUUCAGUAUUGAAAAUAAAACCUUGUUUCCAUAAAUGGAUCCAUUAAACAAAGUUAUUUAAAGGGAUGUACAUUAUAGAGUUCAAUAUUUCAAACACAUAUGUUAAAUAAAAAGCUACUAAGAAAUUCCUAGUUAUGAAAAACAAAAACAAAACAAUUUAAAUGGUCAAAAGUUUUUGUUUUUCCAAUUUUGCAGAAGAGAUGGUAAAACUUAAAAUAUUUUUUGCCAAUCACUGGAUUUUUAUCUUAGAAUCUUAAAAGUAUCCUCCGUUUUUUUAUUUUUUAUUUAUUUUAAAGAACUAAGUUACAUUUCUUUUUGGCCGGUGUAGAUAUCUUAUUAAGAGCUCUUCUUCGAAAAUCUUAUCUUCUGUGCCUUCUUUUUCUUGUGGCCCCACCCAUGCAUCACACCUCCUCCAUUCCAUUGCAUAAAUGAAACCCCACAAAGACAUUAAGCAAUAAAAAUCCAAGCAAAUAAGAUUAAUUUAUUAGUUGGCUUGUAAAAAGUAAAGCAGACACUUCCUGUUUUUUGGCUAUAAAAACACAAGCCCUUCAAUGCCUAACAACCUCUUGAGCUUGUCCAUUUGAGCACUAAACCUCUCUUCAUGGCCUAUGGAAGAAGCCAAACCAGCUCUUUCCUAGAAGGGUUCUCUCUAAGUCCUCUGCCAUAUCCAGUUCUGCUAAUUCUUGCAGUAAUCUCAAUCUUUCUUGGCAUAUCCUGGUACUCAUCCUAUGACUCAGUUGUGGAAGAAGCUGAAACGCAAUUCAAUUGGUUGCUUUUUGUUACACCAAUAGCACUUCUGCUUCUUGUUAAGUUGCUGUCUUCUAUGGAUCCUGAUUGGCUCUUCUCCAUGUCUCCACUGGGAAACCGCAGGAGAACCUACUAUCCACCUUCGGAGGGAAGCUCACCAUGGGGUGUUGCUGCUUUCAUUGUGCUCCUGCUAGUUUUGCUGCAAUACCAGUCUAUUUUCAGGGACAGCUGGCUCAUAUAGUAUGUUCAGUAUUCUGUUUAAAAAUUUAAAAAAAUUAUGUAAAAAAAGUUGUGUGUUUAUGCAGUAGUUGUUGUAUGUAAUGGAAUAUGAUCUUCUACUCAUAUUGUGAAAAUAGAUUAUGGUCUGUUUAUGUUGAGUUGAAACUGAAUCUUCAAUGGUUUUCCAUGUGAUUUUUGUUUUUGUUUUUAUGUCUAAUGGUUUCAUUAGGCUAAUUUGAUUGCUGUUGUAACUUGUAAGUGAACAUAUUUAGUGAAAUUAAUAUGAAGUAGGUAAGCAUGAAUUGCUCUGAUCAGAAGUAACUCCUUCCUUGAAGGUUUACUUAGAGAGUUUCAAAUAUAUAUAAGUUAUAUUAUAUAUGAAAAGGUGGAGCUGCCCAGUCUGUUUGUACUUCAUACAUAUAGACAGGAACAUCCCGGUAAUCAGGGGAUUUACAAUCUCCAAAUUGUAUUUUAGCUGAUUGUCUGUGUCUGGUUUCUUGCACAACUGUAAUCAAAGUUUGACAACACCCCUCACCAUAUCCAAACCUACCACCUGCCCUUUUGACCCAGUGCUAACUAAGCAUGUCAAGCAAGUUCGAUAGGGCUCGUUUGGUGCGUAUGAUAUCUUACCAUUUUGCGAGGAUUAGAUGGGAUAAGUUUUCUUCAUGAGUAAUCCAUCUUCUACCUUCAACAUAGUAAAAAAAAAAAUUCAUUUCUUCAUUUAACAUGCUAAUGUAGGAAGUUAUCUUAUUCAAUUCAAUUCUAAUCACGAAAAGAACUUAUAAUUUAUUUUAGAUUGAGAUUACAAGAAUUCAGGUGGCAUUAUUUUCAUGGUAGGCCCUACCAAUGAAACUUCGUGGUCUGAAGUCAGUGACAAUUUUCAUGCGUUUCUUGUUGAUUAGGUUAUAUGACAUCCAAUGUGUACCAUUGAAUUGUUCAAAUGACUCAAUUCUCAGCCAUACAACUUUCAUUUCUCCAAACUUCUGAAAGCACUUAAUGGAACAAUAGAGAAACUACUUGGUCUUUUGGGGGGCAGGAAAAGUUCAACAUGUCAUCACUAGUUUUGGUAGCAUCUCUGGUGGUAGGUAGUCUGUAUUGAUCAGAUGAGGAAAAAAAUCACUGUUAAAAAUUCUACUGUCAAUUUCAUUCAUGUGCAAAUCCAUAAUUUCUGUCACUCAAACCAUGUAAUUUCAGCAUGAAUUUUGGAAAUAUUAUGAAGAGAAAAAAAUUAAUUUAAAAAGAUAUCAAAACCAACAAGUCAUAUAAGUGUGGAGAGCCACACAAGUGGACCAAUCAGAAGAAUGAAUACAAGUGGAUCAACUACAGAGAAGCAUCGAUUGUAGCUCUCCACCAAUUAUUGCAUCAAAUGGCGACCUACCAAGAUGAAAAACACAUUUGAAGAUAAUUAUAACUUAUUGACAGUAAGUCUUGCCACAAUAGAAUCUAUUGUCUAAAACGUUACAAUGCUUCCUUUUAUAUCUUAUAAACAUAACAUUUCUCUGCACAGCCUACUCCAUUUGCAUCCAGACAAGGAAGUAGAGGAAGAGGAAAGAACCAACUCUUCUUCUUCUUCCUUCUUAUUAACAAUGGGUUCCUGUUUCCCUAAACAGAUAGAACGCCGUAAGGCGAUCUCAACGGAGAGGAAAACAAUGCGUGAUCUUCAUCAAAGCUGUGGUGAGGACUUUCCAGCUUGUGCCCUUAGGCCUACAGAUAGAAAAAAUUGGAUGGCAGGCCUCAACCCUGAGAAGAUUCACAUACACAAGAUUUUAUGGCCAGGAACACAUGACUCUGCAACCAACAAGAUUGGAUUUCCAUGCAUAACUAGGCCUUUUGCACAAUGCCAAACUCUGUCCAUCUACCAACAGCUUGUCAUAGGCACCAGAGUGCUUGACAUUCGGGUUCAAAAGGAUCGUCGCGUCUGCCAUGGAAUUCUUGUCACAUACAGCAUUGAUGUUGUGAUCAGAGACAUCAAGAAGUUUCUGUCUGAAACAAAGUCAGAGAUCAUACUCCUUGAAAUCAGGACUGAAUAUGGUCAUGAUGACCCUCCUGAUUUUGAGCAGUAUUUGGUGCAUCAAUUUGGGGAGGUUCUCAUCCACCAGGAUGACAAUGUGUUCAACAAGACCAUUGCAGAAUUGUUUCCGAAGCGAAUAAUAUGCGUGUGGAAGCCAAGGAAUUCACCUCCGCCUAAGGCAGGGGGCGUUCUAUGGAGUUCUGGGCACUUGAAGGAUGACUGGAUCAACACGGAUUUGCCAUCGACAAAAUUCGAAAGCAACUUGAAGUGUUUGAGUGAGCAGCCUCCAAUUUCAACAAGAACAUUCUUUUACAGGGUGGAGAACACAGUGACACCUCAGCCUGAUUACCCUAUUGUGUGUGUGAAACCAGUGACCGGUCGGAUUCAUGAGUAUGCAAGGCUGUUUAUAACUCAGUGCUUCUCUAGAGGUAUUGAAAAUAGGUUGCAAAUCUUCUCUACUGAUUUUAUAGAUGAGGAUUUUGUUGAUGCAUGUGUUGCUGUUACAUAUUCAAGAAUUGAACGGAAAGCCUGAAUUUCCAUUUUUGAGUAAUGUCUUGUUCGUCUUCUUGGUUUUCUUGUGGAUUUGCUAGAGAAACAUAAUGCAACAGAAACAAAAUAUUGGGAUGAAUUUGAAUUAAAAACUUACAAAAAAUGGUUUUCAUACUAAAUAUGUGAUAAAAAAAUUUAUCAUUAAUAGCACCGAAACCCGGCACACUUCGUUAAACACUAUUUGUAUGAUGUUCCAUAUCACGAAAACAAAUUUAAGACAUUUGCAUGAUUUCAGAAUUUAAAUGCGCCUCAUUUUUCUUAUUUUAAUGAUUAUUGAUUGAAACUUAUAAGCUUCUCUGAGGGUUUUUAGCAUUUUUUUUUUUUCCACUCUUUUUGUUUGAUAAAAACACACAAAUAAUUAGGUGUUACAACUUUAAUAAUAUGAUUGAACUUUCAGGUGUGAUUCUCAUGAAAAGAAGGAAAAAAAACUCACAUUUUAUAAACAAAAUAACGAGAUAUUGGAGGAAACUUGUGUGUGUCCUAUUAGAAAAGUUCAAGGAUUUGUGCUUGAAUAUUCUAGAGGAAUCCGAUUUUGUUUUGGAUCUGAGAGUGUGAAAUUUGGAAAAUUAGGCUUAUUAUGUGAGAGUUAUCAGUGAGGUUGGGUUUAUCUGCGGACCCAAAAAAUUCAAAAGUUGUGAAAUUUUCAAAAAGAACUAGAAUUAUUGGAUUUGAUAGGAAGGCAAACGCACAAACAGAUGCGUAAACAAUGGCUGCAACCAUAUCGAAUUCUUCAUUAUGAUUCAUUGAUUGUCUAACCUGGUUAGAGUGUACGUAGUCUGUGAUUGCUAAUACUCCCUACACAUAUUUGAAAUGUAAGCUGGACUUGAUAUUUAUUUUAUCUUUUUUUUGAAAUAGAAUAUAUAUUAUGUGCAGGGUGUGAUAAAACAAAUAUGCAUGUGAAUUAAUAACCAAAACACACAAGAAUCAUGAGUUUAUUUACAAAUAAUUAAGCCGGUCGGAACUUAGAUCUAAAAUAAUUAACCCAGCUCGAGCUUGAUAGUAAGCACAAUCAUCAGAGUUGGCUCAAUCUUGUAGUAGCAAGUCUACUGUGAUUGAUGACAUUGCAUGGUUAAAGCCAAAUGGAGAGACAUUCGUUUAUCCAAUCCACUACAUCUUAACAAAGCACAAUUCUCUCAACAACAAAAAAAACAAAACAAAACAAAGCACAAUUAAUCUGACAUCCCAAGAGGUCCAAGCCACUUGGAAUGAAAGGAUGAUUGGUAAGAUAGCAAGACCAAAAUCAGCACCAACAAGAAGGCAACACCCCACGGUGAGCCUGAGCCACCACCGCCCCUGGCCGGGUGAGCUGGCACACGCUGUGGAUGUUGGGACCAAAAGCUGAACCAUCCACUAGAAGGGACUGAAGAACAUGAAGCUACCACAAAAAUCAACAAAACAGGCAACACCAUUAGGAAGAGCUGGAAAUUAAAGGCUGUGUGUUGCAUUUGGGCCUUGUACUCUGUGUAUUGAGAAAGCCAUAGCAAGCCAAUGACAAUGGCAAAGAUGGUGAGCAAAUGCAGAGGUGGUGCAGAGAUGGAGGCCAAGGUCUGGCAAGUCCACCCUUGUUUCCACUCUGGACCCCUCCUCCUCUUAGGGUAGAACCACUCCAUCUUUGUCCUCUUAAUUCUCCUUACAACAACAAGGUUUAUAUAAAUAAGAAUGAAAGGUGAUUAGGGUUUGGCUUGCUCUUCACAGUAGGUUAGGCUGGCUUUGGCAUAUAUGCUUUGAGUGUAGGCUUUGCCUGCCUCACAAACUUUUUACUUUGUACUAAUAUGCUCUCAUCAAACUUUUUACUUUGUACUCAUAUGCUCUCAUUCAUGUGAUUGAUAGCAAAUUAGCUUCUUAAUUAAGGAUGAGUCCAUGGAAUUCUUUUUUAUCUUCCUUUAUUCUUCAAUUUUAGUUUUUAGCUUUCCAUUUGCCAAAGAUAUAAUUUAUUUAUUCAAUUAUUUUCGAGUAUUAUGGCGAAGGCAGUUAUUUUCAAUUACCAAAUUCACUAUGAGAUAUGAGAAUUGAGAAAAUGAGAGGACCCCUUGAUGUUGAUUUCAUUAUGAGAGAGGACCCUUUUGUUCAAAAUGUUUUAAGCUUAAAAUGACUCGUAUUGCUCUAGCGUCCACCAGACAAUAAGUGGCCCAUGGAAAAUGGAUAGAAGAUAUUUCCUAUCUUUAUGAGGGGAGGAAAACCUCAAAAAUGACCACACAAAAAGAAGGAAAAAUAAAGAAGAGGAAAAAAAUCCGUAUGAUAGGCUGGCUCAUACAUUUGUUACAACAAAGCUUCAAACUCAAAGUACCUUCGCAUGGCCCUUUAUUUGAUCCUGGUGCCAAAACAACCAUAAUCAAGCUGCAACUUUCUUGGCUGUUACGGAAUUGAUGAUGGUAGCGAAUUCAGGACCCUAGGUGAUGAAAACUCAACUUGUUAGUGUCAUUUGCAAAAAAAUUACAAACGGAAAACAAAAAGGAUCUAAACCACAUAGUACUCUCAAGGCAAAUAUUUGCAGUACUAUACCUUUAAGGAAGCACCACCAACAAGAAAACCAUCAAUAUCUUCCUUCUUUGCAAGCUCAGCAGAAUUGCCUCCAUUUACAGACCCUGAAAUUGGAUCCCAAUUUAGUUACAACACUACCGGAAGUCGGAUAUUCACUGAGAGCUAAGACUAGAAUAUCCCAACUAGCUGAGCACUGAGCAGAAUCAUUAUGUUCAAAUGAUUCUACGACAAGGGUCCAGGUUGGAUGUUUCUAAAGUUGUCUACAUCUUACAGUAUAGAUGAUACCAUUAUUGCCAAUAUAUUAACAUGAAUUGGUCUCCCUUGACCUAUUUUAAGAACAUGCAUAAGUGCUUUCUAUUGCUUAAUCACAGAGGUGAAAGUUGUAAGAAACUGACGACCAAUCAAAAAGAGUUGAAGGAAACAAGCUACCUCCAUAAAUAAUUCUUGUUUUGGAUGCAACUUCUGGUGACACAUUCUUUUUGAGCCAAUCACGAACAGCUACAUGUACUUCCUGAGCUUGUUCUGGACUGGCCACCUUACCAGUUCCAAUGGCCCAUACAGGCUCAUAAGCAAUAACUAUAUUAUCCCAGCUGGGUACUGCAUCUGCACAUAAUAGACAAAUUAGUGUUAUACACAACGGACAAGCUAUUCAUUUUGAAACAGGACUCCAAAAUUGGCUGCACAAUCAUGAAAAAGAAAAAGCAUUUAGAAGUUACCUGCAAAAGCCUUCAGUUGCUGAAAGCAGAUGUCAAAAGUUUUCCCUGCUUCCCUUUCUUCUAGCUUCUCACCAAUGCAAGCAAUAACUCCAAGACCCUCGUUCAAGGCAUAGGCAGCUUUCUUUCCUAUAAACUGCAAUUAAUAAAUUUCAGUUACAUUUUGAAAACUUAUCAUAGAUCAGAAUAUACACUAAUCAUUUUCUCUAGAGACCUUCAUAAAAAUUUAAAGAAAUAUUUGGAACAUUCACCUGAUCGUCUUCCCCAAUUACAUGCCUCCGUUCCGAGUGUCCAAGAAUAACCCAUGUGGCCCCAAUAUCCUUCAAUUGUUCAACGCUGCAAAAUGGAAAUGGUAAUUGUAGUAAUUAUAUGAGUUCAUUAAGCUGAAAAUGCAACCAUAAUAGAACUAUGAGAGGCAUAUGUCAACUCAGAGCUUAUAUAUACUACUAUUACAAGAUCUGUUUCAGAUGUUUAAGCCAGAAUCUUAAAAGGACCACUCAUUGUCCUUGCAGUACAAUGAACAAAUAACCUUUUUGAAAUUGAUGCCAAAUUCAAACAGGAUUCUUACAAUGUUUAGAAACAGUUUUCAAGAUAUAAUUCUAGAGGAGCUUCAAAAGGGAGGGGGGAGCACAGAAAUAUAAACUAUGAACCUACUACCCAGCAAGUUUAAGAUAAGUCGUGAUGCGAAUAGUCUCCAAUCAAGACAACCAAAGAUAAAUUUGUAAUAGCAAGAUGAAAAUGUAUGUCUCUGUGAAGGACAAACUACUAAGAAAUUUAACAGGGCAGAGUAAACUAACCUGAUUUCUCCCGUGAAAGCGCCACCUUUUCCAACCCAAGAAUUUUGACCAGAUAUUUCAAUACGAUCUGUUAAUGAGUUCUUCACCUGAUCGAUGUAAAGAAAUGGUGGUGCAACAAUAACAUCUGUACAUAUCAUAAGAAAAUCAAAAGUUAAAACCACUACAAAUUCAUAUUCUUAAAUGAUAUAUAAAUGAGAUCAAUACAAACUGACUUUUACACAAAUGACUCUAUUCUGUACCUACAAAGUAACGUAGUGGACGUGCCACCCUUAACCACCUAUGCCCAACACCUUUUCGCACGUUGCAUACAGUUCCAAGUUUCUUCCCUAGCUACAAUUAUAUCACUGCCUUAUUUUCUAAAUAAGACACAUACACUCAAACUUAUUGAUCAUCAAUUCCAGUCACGCAGAGUUUCCUUCUCACUAGAUUUUGGUCAUUCAUCAUGUAUAAUGUACUGGCAAGACUAAAGCAAUCUAGUAAACCUACUGCAAAUUGAAAAAGGCAUAUACUGAAGAUCAAACGUAACAUUAUCUCACCAACAUCUGCUUCCAAUUUGGCACUGUUCAAGUCAGAGACUAGCUUGCUGAUAGAGUCUUUUGUGCCAUUCUGAAUGAAACAGCAAAGAUGAAAACGUCACAAGAAGAACUGAGCCAUCUUAAGAGUUCGAAUGCGUAUAAAUCUUCAAUAUCCAACAAAAGCAGGCUAAGAAAAUACAUUAGAGAAAACAGACUCUACAGAGUUUAAAAUACUUACUUGUAAAUUAUGUACCAUUGGAAGUAACACUAGAUUAACAACAAAUUUGAAAUUCGAAAUAGAAUUGAAAUUUCAAGGGCAGUGGUGCGCUGGAUUUAUGUUUGAAAAAAAAAAAAAUUGGUUGAAAGGUGGUAGCUUUCGAAAGAUGAUAUAAUGAAACUUCAAAAUUGAGAAUGUGUUUGAGUGGAAAUGUUCUGAGCAUUUCAGCCCCUUUGCUCUAUGAAGGAAGCAUAAAAAUUCUUUCAACACAAAGAGAACAAUUUACUAGAGGUAGUGCAAACAGACAUUGCAGUCAAAAGAGUACUUACACACUUCCAGUUUCCACCAACAAAGAACUGCAAACACAACAAAAGAUACAAUUAAUUACAAAUAUAUAUAUAUAUAUAUAUCCAAAGAGGAGAGAAUCUAUAAGAGUAGAGAAUCCAAAAAUAUCCAGAAAUUUCUAGUGAAGAACAAUCGCAUUCUGAAACUAAGGAUAAUUUCACCAUUUUCUUAAUACCUUUAAUCAAUUGAGAUCCAAGAUUUUUCCUUUCAUUUCCACAUUUUCUCGGGAAACCAAACAAAAACAAGGAGAGAUAAAAACAAGGAAGUUCGAAUAAAUAACAGACCUUUCCAGUGCCGGCCAUGGCGACGAUGCCUCUGGAGGCUUUGCGGGAGGAGGAAGAGAGGCGGAGCUGGGAGUGAAGAUGUUGGAAGAGGGAGAGAGACUGGGUGUGGUCCAACUUGGAGCACGAUCGUCGCAGACCGGAGUAAGAGGAGACGGAUUUAGGGCCAGAGAGUUGGGAAGCGAGAGAUGUGGAGGCCACCGACAUGCCUAACUCAGUGAGUUGGAGCUUUCGAGUUUGGGUUUGCUUCCUCUGUGUUUUUACUUGUAUUUCACGAGUGAGAGAGUGAGUCACUGAGAGAAAGAGGGUGGUUGGGUUUUAUGGUAACCAGAAGGAUUGUUAGGAUAGGAGGGAUGGAUGGUUCACGCUGUUAUUUAGAACGUCAAAUGCACGCGAUUUUUUCCCCUUUUUUUUCUUUUUUCUUUUUUAAAAACUUUACCAACCAACAAUCUAGGGUUUGGUUUUUUUACUGGUUGUUUGUUUGUCAGGUACCAACCAAACGAUCACCUACCCUAUUCCUACCAAAAAUUUGCCAACGGCUACGAUUCCCUCAUUGUUGGUUGCCCUCGUGGCUUUUCCUUGUAAUUUUUACUUUAAUACAAAAAAUAUACAUAAUUCUAUUCAAAUUUACUUGAUACAUGAAAUUUAUAAACCGAAACGUAUCUAAAACUAAUCUUGAAACAUUCUACUCAAAUUAUUUCCUCAACAAGUGAGUGAGACAUGAUAUUUUCCUUCGUUGUCAAUAAAUAAAUAAUUUUAUUCUUAUGUGUAAGAAAAUUAUUGUGAAAACCUACCGCCUUGUAUAAAAACCAAGAAUUAACAUAGGUUUCAUCCGAAAAGAACAUAGGUCUCAUCUAUGAUGACAUUCUUUGGCUGUUCAAACCUAUAUAGGAACAGUCCACCAUUAGUGAAUUAUUAUAAUAAUAAGUAGAGCAACUGUUGCCCAUUCAUUUUCUAUGUUUUUACUUCAGAAAUGAUGACACAAAAUAAUAAGAUAAUAUUAUAUUAAGGGUCGAUGAAAAUUGAUUUCUGUCUUUAUUAGAAACAUCCCUUGUUGAAGUUGAUUCAUUAGAAACAUAAUUAACCAAUUCCUACAACUGAACUCUUUGGCUCACUAGAACGCAAAGACAAACGUUUAUUUUGAUUUUAAAACCUAGUAAGAAUGGCUGGGAGAGUCUUGAGGUUUCAGUACAAACUAAGAAACGGUUAAGAAAACAGUUGAGAUAAUAAGGUCAAGUUAGCCGCUUUAUUUUGUCUUUCAUUAAGCAUUUGUUGGUCAAGCAUGCCAAAGAGACAAAAAAGCAUAUUCAUUUUGGAUCAAUUUCGGUAUGGUUGCAUCAUAUUAGACAUGCACUCAAAAUACACAUACAUGUAUAUACACGAGCUUUGGUUCAAUGACGAACAACAUAUGGUCUCCACUCUUCCGAAGUCCAUCUUGAGUUCGAAUCUUAUAAACGAGAACGACAGUAGUUGAAUUAGUAAAGAUUCCGCUUAAUGAAGCAACUGCAAUUAUAUUGAGAAAUCUACGGCAUAGAAGGCUCUCUGGCCAAUUUUCAUCAUUCACUCCUAGUGUCGGGUUGGAUGCUAAUCAUUUUAUCCGUUUAUCUAAUUUGUGGCUUUCAUUGGACAUUUCCUUUCUAUUCAUGCCCAUGAAAUGAAAGCAACCCCCACUCAAAAUCCCUUUCCAGCAAUUUAGUCCAAAAGUUUUCACCAAUCACAGCCCGUGACAUCAUCACGUAUUGGCCUUUUUGGACCUUCAGGAUUAUGACAUGGUUCGUUUUUAUACGAAAAGAUCUUCAGAUUCGUCUGGAGAAAAUGCCACACUUUUUAACUACAGACGGUCAUCUGGCUUCUAUGCCAAGAGAUCUCACAGACUCUCACCUUACUAAGACGUGGUAAGUCUUAAUCUCUUAUACACCAUACAGUCUACAAUUUCAUGUCCGUGUACAGUCGGACGUAUUUUUAUACUCAGAUCAGAUGCACUUUCAGUGAAGAAUUGAUUGGUGAGAAGGAACAGAAAUGAACAUUGUAUUAUUUCAUCUGAGUCAUCUCCAUGACUCAUGUGUAGCCCAACAUUUCCCCUUAUGCACCUUCUCCCUCAAUACAAAAGAAUCCCUAAAAAUCCUAGUCAGCAAAUGCCAUUGAACUAAGUAUCGCGGGUUCCACACCAAAGGUUGAGGCCCGGGUCACACAAAAUUUCAAAGGAUUUGGAAUUGGCAAGCAUGUUUUCUCAUGGUAACCUUUUCGAACCCUAGUCAGCACUUCUGAUCUCUUGCUCACUUACUAUUGACCGUUGAAAUUUGUGGCCACCAACUGUUUGAUCAAAUGAGCCUUAGACUCCUAUGGGAUACAAAACAACAGAAACCUACCUGAUCCAAUCUUUUCUAGCACUCUCUAGCUAGCUACAAUGGCCCCACCCUCAAACACCAACUUUAACUCCCAUAUAUCAGGAAAACAGAGCAUUAACCAGAAAGCUUUAGCUGCAGAACAGUUUCCUUGGUGGUUUUCACCAGAAACAGGAAUUUACCAGAGCAAACACCUUUCCAUUGACCUCCCAUCAGACCCUUUUCUUGAUAUUGUCUCCUUCAUUUUCUCACACCAGCAUGAUGGGGUUUCCUCAGCUCUCAUUGGUUCCUCUUGUGGGUCUGCAAUAUCUUACUCACAGCUCUACUCUUCUGUCAAGUCCAUGGCCUCUGGCCUCCAGCAAAUGGGAAUCUCACAAGGUGAUGUUGUUUUGCUUCUUUUGCCAAAUUCCAUUUACUAUCCCAUUGCUUUCUUGGGUGUUAUGUACCUUGGUGCUAUUGUCACAACCAUGAAUCCCCUCAGCAGUGUAGCAGAAAUCAAGAAACAGAUUGCUGAUACCAAAGCAUGUCAUGCUUUUACUGGACCUGAGAAUGCCGAUAAAUUACAAGCAUUGGGCAUUCCUGCAAUUCUGGUUCCAGAAAAUGCACUUCCGGGUUCUUCGAAGGACAUUUUUUCGGUUUUUUAUAAGCUUAUUUAUAGUAGGUGUUAUUUGGCUCUAAGGCCAGUGAUUAAGCAGCAAGACACUGCUGCAAUAAUGUAUUCGUCCGGGACUACUGGUGUAAGCAAAGGUGUUAUGAUAACACAUAGGAAUUUCAUAGCUACAGUUGCCCAUUUUGUGCGUUUUGAGGCUUCACAGUACGAGGGUUCAAGCUUGGAUAAUGUGUAUUUAGCUGUUCUGCCAUUGUUUCAUAUCUACGGGUUGUCGCUUUUCAUGAUGGGUUUGUUGUCUUUAGGAUCCAGAGUUGUUGUGAUGAAGAGAUUUGAUGUCAAUGAGGUGAUCAGGGCAAUUGAUAGGUAUAAAGUUACCCACUUCCCAGUUGUUCCACCAGUAUUGACAGCAUUGACAAAAAGAGCCAAUGAUGGCUUGGCCCCUCAUAGCCUCAAGAGUUUAAAGCAGGUUUCUUGUGGUGCAGCUCUGUUGAGCAUGAAAACCAUAGAGAACUUUGUUCAAACCUUUCCUCACAUUGAUCUCAUUCAGGGCUACGGCAUGACUGAGACCACCGCGGUAGGAACUCGUGGUUUCAACACCCAAAAACUUAGGAAACCUUCUUCAAUAGGGCUUUUAGCUCCAAACAUGCAAGCUAAAGUGGUGGACUGGAACACUAGAUCCCCUCUGCCUCCAACAAGUACCGGUGAGCUAUGGCUACACGGACCGGGGAUUAUGAAGGGCUACUUGAACAAUGCCAAGGCAACAUUGUCAACAAUUGAUGAAGGGGGCUGGCUACACACUGGAGACAUUGUGUUUUUUGAUGAAGAUGGAUACUUACAUCUACAAGACCGCUUAAAAGACGCGAUCAAAUACAAGGGCUUUCAGAUUGCUCCUGCAGAUUUAGAAUGUGUGCUGAUCAACCAUGCUGAGAUACUUGAUGUUGCUGUGGCAGGUGCCAUGGAUGAAGAAAGUGGAGAGGUGCCUGUGGCUUUUGUGGUGAGGAAGCACAGAAGUGAACUAAACCAUGAUGCUGUCAUGGACACAAGUUGCUCCAUACAAGAAGGUCAGGAAGGUGGUGUUUGUAGAUUCAAUUCCAAAGUCUCCAGCUGGGAAGAUCCUAAGAAGGGAGCUUAGGAAGUUUUUGAAUUCUAGACUCUAGGACAAGUUUAGAUUGUCUUCAGGUUUUUGGAGUGGGGUUUUAUCACAUUUUCUCGGGAAACCAAAAAAAAACAAGGAGAGAUAAAAACAAGGAAGUUCGAAUAAAUAACAGACCUUUCCAGUGCCGGCCAUGGCGACGAUGCCUCUGGAGGCUUUGCGGGAGGAGGAAGAGAGGCGGAGCUGGGAGUGAAGGUGUUGGAAGAGGGAGAGGGACUGGGUGUGGUCCAACUUGGGUCCCGAUCGUCGCAGACCGGAGUAAGAGGAGACGGAUUUAGGGCCAGAGAGUUGGGAAGCGAGAGAUGAGGAGGCCACCGCCAUGACUGACUCAGUGAGUUGGAGCUUCCGAGUUUGGGUUUGCUUGCUCUGUGUUUUUACUCGUUUUUCACGAGUGAGAGAGUGAGAGAGUGAGUCAGAGAGAGAGAGAGGGUGGCGGGUUGGGUUUUACGGUAACCAGAAGGGUUGUUAGGAUAGGAGGGAUGGAUCACGUUGUUAUUUAGGACGUCAGAUGCACCCGAUUUUUUCCUCUUUUUUUUUCUUUUUUUUUUUAAAAAAAAUUUUACAAACCAACAAUCUAGGGUUUUGUUUUUUCACUGGUUGUACCAAACGAUCACCUACCCUACUCCUACCAAAAAUUUGCCAACGGCUAGGAUUCCCUCAUUGUUGGUUGCCCUCGUUGUUUUUCUUUGUAAUUUUUGCUUUACCCCAAAAAUAUAUAUAUCAUUAUGUUCAAAUUUACUUGACAUAUGAGGUUUAUAAAUCGAAACGCAUCUAAAAC
rnacentral:lncRNA from 1 species